AGUACCAGGACCUCGUGCUCCUGUACCAUGGCCACCCAGCCCUCCCACCCGCCCGGCCCUACCUGUCCACCUCCAGCAUGCAGCGGCUCGCCAUGCCACUCGCCGCCACUGCGCCGCCCGGGGCGCAGGGCCGUACUGCGAAGUAGGCGUAGGGUGGCAGAGCCAGCAGGCUGCCGCUCAGCGACUCGCCCAUCCAGGCCGCGUCCGGCGUGUCCAGCACUGCGGCGAUUGGCGCCCUGCACUCCAGCGCCGCCAGCAGCCGCUUGGCCAGCACGCCCGCCGCCACCACUCGGCUGCCGAACAGCUGUUGGCCAUAUGAGCAGUGCAAGACACGUUGGCAACAUUAGUCAGCAUCACGUAAGGCCGCUGCACCUCCAUCGAGCCCAGCCAACCUGGCCAAACCCUUUCUUCUUCCUCCGUUCCCAACUCCCCAACCGGCAUGCUUGCGCACAAUUACCUCAGGCCACGACCUCACCUGCUGGUGCGGGUCCAGCAGCUCCACCACCGCGUCCGCGUACGGCCGGCCCUGCCGCGUGCGAGCCCACAGCUCAUACCGCUCAGCCGCCCGCGCCAGGAAGGCACGUGCCCCCGGCCGCAGCUUGAGCCACAGCGCGCCGCCCUCCAGCGGCAGCCUGAAGAGCUCGCGCCGGUCCUCGGGCAGCGCUGCCGCCUCCACAGCUGCCCGCCGCACCAGCGCCGCUGCGGUGGGUCCGUCCAGCUGUGCGUCCCAGCAGCUGUCCGCCAGCACUCCGUCCAGGUCCACCACCAGCACCAGGCGGCCGCGGCCCAGGCAGGAAGACACCACCGCCGCCUGGUCAUCAGGCAGACCGGCCGCAGCGGCAGCCAGGCGCUGGGCGGAGGCGCUGGGGCCCAUGUCACCGCCGGCCGCUGCCUCUGACUUCACGUGCGCGGCGUCCCGGUCGCGGUCUCGGUGGCGUGAGGAGCGAUGCGAGGACCCGUGCUCCUUGUCCCGCUCCUUGUCCUUGUCCUUAUCCUUGCUGCUGCGGUGCCGAUCCCUGUCCCUGUCCCUGUCUCGGUCCCGCUCCUUGUCGCGAUCCCGCUCCCGCUCCUUAUCCCGUUCCUUGUCUUUGUCCUUGUCGCGGCUGCUGCGCUCCCUUUCACGGUGCGAGCCGCUGCCACCCGCCGUAUCGUCGUGCGCGUCCUUGGGCUUGGAGCUCGGCCGCUGCGAAUGCGAGGGCUGCGGCUGCGGCGGCUGCGGGAGCUGAACCGCCUCUGUCCCCACACCCGCCGCAGUGUCCAUGGCAUCAUCCCUGCCGCCAGUUGCGCCGGCGUCAGACAUGGGCGACUCGGGCGGUGGAGGCAGGGCACCCCCGUCCUCCGCGGCCCCCAGCACAGUGCCAUGCGGCCCACCCUCGCCGUCCUCCCGCUUUACCCAUGCCCCAUCCGCUGCGCCGCUCCACCGCAAGCCGCCGGCCUCGCCUUCCGAGCCGCCGCGAAUGCGCUUCGCCGGCGGCUCAUCGGCUUCCUCGUGCCCUGCGGUGGUGGCUGCUGCCGCCGCCGCUGCUGCCCUAAGGUCGCCAGGUGUGGAAGCCACCACAAUCUUCAGUUUAAAGGCGCUGCCGCCCCCGCCAGCUCCCAUAAGUGAGGACGCAGCGCGGCCCUGGAGGCUGGACCGCGCGGUAGCCCCGGCCGCCCCGCCCCCGCUGCCCGGCCCCGGCGUAUGCUUGGGGGCGGGCGGCCAUCCAUCCGGCGGCGGAGGGCCCGGCGGCGGCACCGCGUCGGGCCCUGGGCUUGGAGAGGGGCUGCGCCAGUAAGUGCUGGGCGGUGGUGGUGGCGCCUGAGCAUCCAUAUCCUGCACACCAAUGCAAAAGGAAGAGUCAUUUGUAUAUCUGCCCCUCGCAACCAGCGCGCUAGGCAAGUUGUGACACGUAGUCCAACUGCUGGCGCCUUCCCGCGCGAGGUUGUCUCGACCAGGCCCCAUGCCCUGCGCGACACCGUCAACCCCACGCCCCCAGCCACCCAGCUGCCACCCACCAUAGGCUGCGCGCCAGCCUCCUGCUGGCCAGAUGGAAGCGGUGGCAACUCCUCGCCGCCCGGCCCCGCUCCUGCGGCCUCACCCCCGUGUCCCAACCCCGUCGGCUUGCUGUCCGCUCCAGUGCCUGCCCCUGCCGCCUGCUGCGAGUGCUGAUGCGCGCUGCUGGACGCCUUGGCGCCACCAGCGGGCGCCUCGGCACCCAAACCAGACGGCACCGGCGUGCCGCCGCCCGCCCCUGGCGUGCUGGCGCCUCCCGCUCCUGUUGCCGGGGGCGGGCCGCCUCUCCGGUUCUCCAGCACGACCUUGAAGGCCUUGGAGUUGCGCACCAGCGCCUCCAGUUCGGCCUUGAGCCCCGCGUUGAAGAUGUCGUGUCGGUAGUUCAUGGCCGCCUUGAAUAGCGCCCGGGCCGCGUCCGCGCCUGCAGCCGGCGCUGCCAGGUAGGCGCUGGUUUGGCUGAAUUUGUUGACGGUGUGCAGGCCCUCCAGGAUACGGCGGCUGUACUGGAAGCAGUCCGGGUAGUCCUCGAUGGAGUCGCCCUUGCGCUUCUGUGCGAGCCGGAGAGGAGCGGAAUCAACAAAAGCGACCAUAAGGGCGACUGCUUGCGUACGCACCGCGCCUACCAAGCGACAUCCCGCCCAGUCCGUUCGGGCUCCCCAAUGAGGUAGCUCCUCCUGCCUGAUGUUCUGCCACCGCAGCGACAGUCGGGCUGCCGUUUCCCUCCGGGGACCUUCCUCGCUCCUCACCUUCACCCUCCUGAACAGCUUGUCCAGCUUUUUGAUGGCUUGCUUCAGGUCGCGACCCACCGUCUCCAGAGAGCGCAUGACAUCCUGCAGGUAGUCAGCCAGGCAGCGAUGGAGGGCUCAGUCAGGGCUGGUCCGGCAGGGGCACAAUGCAGCGGCCCCCACGGCAGUCACGCCGUGCAACCAACUUCUGCUCCAACGGCCCCAGAGUUCUCCUCCAAUUGCCAUGCCACCAGCUGCCCGCGCUUUAUGAGCCGUAUCCCACUGAGCCAUGUUGUAAGCUACCGUCUCGAACAGCCACCUUGUCCGCGAAAGAAAAGCCACACCCUUUCCCCCUACAGGCAGCACUAGUGCAACGGUUGGGCAUGUGCUGGGCGCCCCACCUGGAAGCUGCUGUUGCGUGUGAGGUCCCGCAGCAGCGUCUGCAGCUCCUCCACCUCGCGGUCGUCCUUGCCGCCCGCGGCCCCAGCCCCGGCGGCCUCCUUGCCGGGCGCGGGGCUGGUGCCCGUCCCACUACCUGACACCUGCUGAGGCGCCAGCAGAAAGUUGAGCGCAUUUGCGCCCGUCACAGCACCCUGAGCCGAUGCAUAUCCCUCCGAGGUCUUUGAGCGGCCCCGCGCAAUGCUGCUGCGUUCGUGGUGGCUCCUGCCCUUGCUGGAGGCUCCACCAUCACCGCAUACUGCUCCGGAUGCACUUACGAGCGAGUCUUGAAGGCGGCCGCUCCGGGACGGCGCGAGGGACAGGCCAGAAGGCUGCAAGUGUGGAGGUGGCGGGAGCGACCCGUGCGGCUUGAGCGCGGCGCCAACCGGAUCCUGGCCAGCCGCAGAGCCAUUCUCCGCCUCUUCAGCCUCACCCUCGCAGCCUGACGCCUCGCCGGACUCCUGCGGGGUUCCGGGCGAUGUGGAAACGUAGGUCAAACAAAAGUUUGAGCGCGCAAACCCAACGUCAAGGCACAUCGUCCGCUUAUUCCGUGUAUCGUAACAUCAAGCUCUUGUUACAAAUCCCCACCUCGGCUUCGGCAGCGCCCUCUGUUUGGACCUCCCCAUCCUCCAGCUCGCCGUCCUCGGACAGGAGCGGCCCAGCCAUGACGCUGAAAUGUUCCACACGCAGUUUUCUGAUCUCAAGGUGCCUACCGCAUCACUGUUGCGCACGUAUGCGGGUCAACAACGGGUCUUGGGACCGCGCAGCGAAAACUGCUCGUGCCUCUGCAGGUGAAUGCUGAACGGCUCAAUAACGACUAAAGAAUAAAAUGAGCACCGAAUCGGAGCCUGUGCUGUCUCAGGCCGAUUUGGCGCGGAACUGUGCUCCACGUGCUUCUCCAGCGAUGGUUAUCAAUCUGGACCAAGAAAUGAAUUAUCAACAACGUGUUUACAAUCCCGUGCUACCGCAUGAUCAUGCUCCUGCAUGUGGUGGCGCCUGGCGGGCUGUUGGCCGCCCCCAUCCGUCCACUCAACGCAUGCCCUUGCGCACACGCACUUGCACUUGCGCCGCGUCACGCCUUGUGCUCGCUCUGCCCGUCUGCCUCCGGCUCCUCGCCCUCAUCCUCGUCGCUAACACUACUAUCACUUACAUCGUCUCGCCCCAGCCCGCCUGAGUCAUGGUCCGGCGGCGUCCACUUUUUGCCGUCUCCCCCCCCGCCCAGCUCCCAAUACCGCUGCCACAGCUCGCUGCUGGUGAGGCGCAGGCUGCCGUCGCCGAACCCCAGCCCACUCACGCCGCUGCUGCCGCGCGCGCCCAGGCUGCCUGGGGGCGCACCAUAGGAGCCCGGCGGGCCCGCGCUUGGGCCGGUGUCCCGACCCGAGCUGGAUGCUGGACCCGGCUGCGAAUCCUCCAGGCCCAGCUCCGGGUGCGUGUGAGAUCCCUCCGGCUGUGCGGUCAGUUGCGACCAGCUCAGUCCACCACUGGGCAUGCCCCACCAGUCCGCCACCGCCUCGCUGCCCGAAGCCAGCGGCGACGCAGUGCCGCCACCCGCCUGGCCCUGCCCCUGCGCCUGCCCGUGCGCCCCUGGACCCCGCCACCAGCCAUCCCACUGCACGAUGACGCCGCUGGCCCGGUCGCGCGCGCCCUUGUCCAGCCACUCCUGCGCAAGCGUGGAACAAAGUCGCUUCUUACUCGUACGAGAACCGUGCAGGUGAGGAUCUGACGGCUACUGGUAAUGCAGGAUGCGUCAUUCUCCCGGCUCGGAUUAUCAUCCUUUAAUCCACACAAAAGCGCUCCGCAACUGCCACCUGCCUGGAAUAGCGGGUUCUUCUCCCGCCACUGCGCCGCCGGGAUGGUGGUGAUGGUCUUCAUGGACCUGUGGGCCGGGCAGGGGGCGGAGACAGGACAGGAAACUAGCACGAGCACUUCAGAUGAGGGACGAAGCCGACCAGCACCGGCCAUGUGAGGGAGUGAAUGCGGGCAGCGCAUGUGACGAGUCCAUGGUCGCGUGCGGCGUAAACUGAUCUGCAGGUCUAGACACCUGUGUCUGCGCUGACCAGGAUAUCAAGGACAUCAGGGAGUGGUGGCUCCACGCCCCACCCGCAUGCUAACCUUAUGUCGUGGAACUUCUUGCCGUUGGUGGACACGCGCAGGUAGGUGUAGGUGAGGCGGUUGAGCACCUCCUCGGAGCAGCGCAGCAUGCGGCCCAGGGUGCCCGGAGCCAUCUCGCUCAGCUCGUGGCGCCUGGCAGGGCGUAAGAGGAUCAGGGGGGUUGCGCACAUGGCAGUGCUCGCUACAACGCAGCACUCAAAGCCAGUGUGUCUCAAGACAUAUUCCAAACAGUUUUCGCCGCGCAGCCCCUGUCCCCACCCCUCACCACUGCGGCAGCAGGCUGGCUGCCUCAUGCAGCAGGUCCGCCCGCAAGCGCAGCGUCGACGUCGACAUGCACACCAGUGGCGGCUGUGCGGGCAGGCGGAAUUGGCAGCGCGCGGAGGAUCAGAAGCAGCAGGUAGUGGUAGGUUGGGAGGUUUUAAUGUGCACAGGUGCUUCGAGCAUGAUCUCGCCGCGUCAAAGCUCGACACGCUGCCCACAUGCAAGCGCACACGCAUCGAGCCGUGCUGACGCCCCAGUCCCCGACGGGACCGGCUGGAGCUCCUGCACGGCGGUGGGCCGCUCAACUCCUGCCUCCCCACCCCACUCCUCAGCCUCAUCGCUCCGCCCGCCUGCCUCCCGCCCUCCCCCACCUGCGCCGCCACCAUGGCUGUGGCCACCUUGAGCGGCAGGCGCAGCUCCGCCUGCAGCAGCGCCACCCGCGCUAGGACCGUGUCGGGCGCGCUCUGCAGCAGCCGCGGGUAGGCCAGCACUGCGCCCAGCAGCUGCUGGCGGCUGAGGCCCAGGCCCAGAGUCAGGUCAUCCAGCUUGGACAGCAGUGUGGCCUCGUGCUGGGGGUAAAGGAGGACAGGGAGGGAGGGGGUUGGAGGGAGGGGGAGGUGGGUCCGGGAGGCAGUCAUACCCAGUUCCAUAUGACCAGAGUGGACGCUGGUGCCAGUCAACGCACGCAGGACAAGACUGCGUGACAACACCGUGCGUGCUCUCUCACCCACCCAGUGCAGUAGGUGCGGGCAGCGCUGGACCAUGCGCCUCACCACCUCCAGCCCCAGCGCCUGGACAUGACACAUGCGUGUAUGUGGACGUGGGAGGGCGGCGCCCCGACAUCAUGAGUGCAGGAAAGACCAGGCAAGGAGCUAAACCAUGGCGUCAAACUUCCCCACUGACACAGCAAGCCCUAACCACCACCACCGCCACCGGUACCCACCUCCUUGAGCGCCAACACCCGCGCACGCAGGGUCUCUGGUGCAGCCCCGUCCCGUAGCCGCUUCCAGCUGUGAGCAGGGCAUAAAGGAUUGUGGGCAUGGGUAGCGGGCAGCGGCCACUGAGCGUGCCAGACAGCAGCAACAGGCGGAGCCAAGCUCCCUCACUACACGGACAGCGCUCAGCACCAUGUCCAGUUAGAGGCGUCAUGUUCGUGCCCCUGGCUGUCAUGGAGACCCAUUUCCACCUCCACCUCAAGAGGGGGGUUCCAGGGGGUCGCUCCAUAAUAGGCACGCAACGACGCACCCCGCGCACCUGGCUGGCGGCGGCCUGAGCUCUGUGGGCUUGAGCCGCAGCUCCCUUCGCAGCAUCACCUGCAGCUCCGCCUCACGACUGGCCUUCUGCAGCGGGGGCCGACCGCGCCGGGCAACUGCCGUGCCCACCCCUUCAGCCGCUGCCGCUGCCCCUGCCUCCUCCACCUGCUGCUCCGUGCCCUCUCGCCGCGGCCUGCCCCUCCGGCUGGACAGUGUAUCUGCAGCCGCGGCUUGUUGAGAAGUGUCCCCACCGUGGCCCCUGGCCCCACUACUUCUGCCGCCGCGGCCGCCGGCCGUCUGACCGCUGUCGCUGCGCUCUCCACCGCCGUGUGCGUCACCCAGCCGGGACCCCGGGGGCCCCACGUCGCCUGCAGCCGCCGCCCGAUGUGCGUCAGCUCGAGGUGGACGCCCACGGCGCCGUUGCCCGCUGUCGCUGUCGCUGCCUGCCGGUGAGGGGGUGCGGACCGGAUGCGGCAGUGGUGGUGCCUGCGGUGCCGUAGAUGCAUCGCGCGGCGGCCUGCCCCGUGACCGCUUCACAGCUGGUGCCGGGCCGUCACUAGUGCCAGGUACACUGCCAUCCACUGACUGCUCUGCUUUGCGGGGCCGGCCGCGCCGCCGCUUGCCUGUCUGCUCUCCUUCGUCAGACGGGUAGGCAGGCCCUGGGGUGCAGCUGCUCCGCACCCGCCCUCCGAAAUGGACUGGUGGGCAUAGGGCUGCGCAUUGCCUACGCUGAAGUUGGGGCACAGAAAAUUGUGCGAAACGCCCAGUGGGCUGAAGGAUUUGCAGCUGCAUGCUGCGCGCCGGGCACCCGUAAGGCUCAGGGCAGUCGACGUUUAGACAGCGUUACAGGCAUACAUGAUCCUUGACACAUGACACAUCGCCUCCUAGUUCGUUGCUGCAAAGUUUAGGGUUCGACCGGGCAACAGCUGACACCACUGCGAAUGCGGUCACUGCCUUGUGGAUUCUGUGGAUUUAUGAUAUUCGCCUCUGUCCGAGCCAGCAGAAAUGCCAAGCGCGCUGUCGUCGCGCGGAACAAAUGUUCCCCUGGUGAGUCGCGCCUAUUUGGUGCUGCUGCAAGCCUUCAAUACGUAGUAAUUUAAACUAUGCCACAAACUUGCUGCGCCCAUUCCCAGAUCAUGGUGAGCCACAAUCGAGGCGCCACGCGCGGCGUGUCAGAACUCAGAAGCCUCUCAGGCUGGUGGGCCAGGUGUGCGGCGGGGACCUACGGGGACUGUUCAGGUCGUCUAGAUGGUCGCCACGCGGCUGCUCGUAGAAGGCUAAGUGCUGAGGUCCGGGUUUGCGGGCAAGGCAUGGCACUGUAAAAGGCGGAUCCUGAACACUGGCCCAUCGCACACUGUCCCGCCUUGCUAAGCACUUAGCCUUCUACGAGCAGCCGCGUGGCGACCAUCUAGACGACCUGAACAGUCCCCGUAGGUCCAGACACGCAGCGAGUGUGGCGUUGCGGUGUGUCUGUGUGGUGCUAUCGCCGGGCGCCCGGAGCGUGAGGAAUGCGCAUCAGCAAACUUCCAGCCAGCCAGCAACGUGUCGGUACAGUAACUCCGGCGUUCGACCAGCCAUGCACUCCUGCUCUGCCGCUGCAAACUGUUUGCUGUCUGCUUGGGGUAUGGGCGUCAGCUGCACCCUAUGGGACCUCGCCAACCUGCCUGAACCCUGUCCCAUCACACGCCCAUCGCACACUCCUUCGCCUAUUGCACCUCGCCUGCUCGCGCCUGCUCUCGCCGUCUGUCGCCCACACGUGGAGCGCGUUGGCCUCUCCUGAUACGCGUCCACAGCUACAAUGUAACUAGACACGUAUACUGCAAAGUCGCCCGAAACCAACUGUAGGUUAGUACACCAAUCGCACUACUUGCGGCCCUUCUUGCCGCGGCCCGCUGCGGCAGGCACGGCUCCAGACGGCGCGCCCAUGCCGCGGCCGGUGCGCUGCGCCUGCUGCUGUAGCCGCAGCAUGGCGCUGAGAAACUGGCGGCGCAGGGUCUCUGCGCCGGCCGCGUCGCCGUUGUUGACUUUUGCGCGGCAGGCGGCUUGCACAAACGACUCCAGCACGGGGUGCGCCUUGGUGCCGAUGAGCAGCGUCAUGGAGUUCAGCGCCGAGGAGGCGUACUUGUCCACCGCCGCCCAGUCGCCAGCCUACAAGGACGGAGGCAAUUGGCGUGACCGCGUGAGCAUAGGAAGGGCAUGAGCAGCAGGGUUCGCUGGUUGCUCACUGACAGAGGCUGGGGAGAGCCCAGUUGCAUGCCGAGACCCCUCCACCCAGAACCUCUGCUCGCGCGUGCGAUCGCAUUCCCGUUAUGAACAUAUGGGUCCUCAGCGACAUUCCUCGUAGUCUACCACGCCUGCUGCCCAGCCGCACCUCCUCCGCCAUGUCCGCCAGGUAUCGGCCCAGGUGCACGGCGGUCUCCUCGCCCUGGCCGUUGCGCGCCUGGAUGGCCGCGUACAGCUUCUCGUACAGAGCCUUGGCCUCGUCUGGGGUGGGGGGCGUGGGAGGGCAUAGCGGUCCAUGAACGAUGGAAUUGUAUUGAUCACAAGUGUCAAGCGCCGACGGUGUACAGAGAAGAGGCGAGCAGGUGCCGCACACCGGACUACUGUUGUAGAUGAUCCCCCUGGUGCCACAGACCCUUCGCACCGGCCCUGGUCUCGGCUUGCGCUCACCCUUCUUGUCAAUGCUGCGCAGGCAGUUGGCUAGGCUGAAGGCCGGGCCCUGGCUCUCACGGCUGUCGGCGCCGUACACGGUCUCGCACAGCACCAGAGCGGAGCGGUAGGCGGCCUCGGCGGCCACCUUGUCCUCGCCCGCCACCAUCUCCAGCCGGCCCAGCUCGAUGUAUGUCCGCAUGAUGGCGGUGCGAGUGCGCCGCAGCAGAGCCGCGGCGGGCGUCUCGCCGGGGUUGGGCUUAGGCGCGGAGUCCGAUGCGGCAGGCUGCAGGAGACAGGCCAGUCAUGCGAGCGCAGGGUCAGGUAAACCAAUGCUACAAGCUCGCCUGCAGCAACUGGCCUCUCGCCUAGCCUGGCCCCCGCUGCAGCCCCACCUGGCUGGCCGCCUCGGCCGCCGCCUCGGCCGCGCUGGGCCCCGCAGCCACUGUGGCCUCCUGCGUCGAUGCCUCCGCCUCCAGCUGAGCCAGUGCGUCCUGGGUCACAGACAUGCACACACACAUACACGUGUUGGGCACACACGUGUGCGUACGCGUGUGCGUACGCGUGCGGGCCAGACUGUUGGGUUGGUGACGUGGCCGGUCCCCGUGCCAUAAGUAGAUUCGUUUGGGGUUCCCGCGUGACUGUGGGGGUGUCUCCUCUCGCGGUAGCUUGGUCGUCGCGCCCAGCGGGCUGGGUCUGCUGCUUGUGGGGGUGUGCUUUCUAGGGCAUGUUUCCGGGCGCGGGGGCCUGGUCGUUGCGCCCUGGCGCCGGGUCUCGCGUUGUCGGCGUCGCGCGCCGCUGUAACGCCGCGGUCUGCCACCCUGCCUGUCCCGCCCCCCACGCCUGUCCCCACCACCGACGCGGCCACUGCGGCCGCGGGCAUGCCUAGCCUCGGUGCCGCCAUGUGCCGCCAUGGAGUGGGGAGCGGGAGGCCAGCUCCCGCCAGCCCAUGGCGACGCAUGCACACACACGCACCGGAGCCUAUUACUGAAACGUUUUCAGCCGCUGUAACCGCCGCCCGCCACGUCCCCCAUGCAGCCCUAACCCCGUUUAGUCGCCGCGCCACCGCUAACUCGCCCGCGUCUCUUGGUUAUGUUAUACUUAGUGGGCGGGCUUUCGAACGCGUGAUACCUAGCUUGUCCGCUGCACGCCGCCCCACUUGUCGGCUUUGCCAUUUGCCUGUCCGUGACACUUCCUCGCUGCCGCCCUAUGCCCAUGCUUCCACGACUGCCUGUAGGUGAGCUCGACUACGCCCAGCGGGCGGGAACCAGGGAACUAGGCGUGCUGGGUAACCGUUGUUUAGCGCGCCCAGGGUGCGGAGUAUGGACGCAUACAGGUGCAUCACGGGGUCAGGCCGAAUGGUCGCCCGUGGGGUGCCAGGCUUAUCGCGGGUAAGUAUGACUACCUGGGUCGCAACGCAACGCUCGGUGAAAUCGGUAGGUAUUGGUAAGUAAGGCGUCGUCUGGGCGGGCUUUCUUAACACGUGUUGGGCGGUGGAGAAACCUAGACCAAGACGGGGAUGGCUGUGGCCCAAGAAGCCGCCAGAGCGGAAGCCACAGCCACAGAUCCCCCUUCCACUCGCACUGCACCGCUCCCGCACCUUGAGCAGCACACGGGCCUCGUUGCGGGCCGCCUUGUCCUCCGCACUGUCCUUGCCGCCGCCCUCCGCCGCGGCCGCCGGCUGCUGCUCGGCCGCACCCUCCUGGCCAGCCGCGGGUGAGGCGGCGCUCAGCCGCAUGAGCGCCUCCGUCAAGUUGGAGCGCGCCAGCAGCGCCAACGGGUGCGCCACGCCCAGCUCGCGCACCGCCAGCUGGUAGCAGUCGCGGUGCAGGGCCUCGGCAUCAGCGGCCCUGAGAGGGAGGAGGGGACGGAAGGGCAGCGAGCGAGCGCGGAAGGGGCCAAGCGUGUGUUCACAAUUGCGCCCGCGGGACGGCUUUCCCAUAUGCGCCAGCCACAUAGGCUCUCCUGCAAGAACAGCGAACCGCCCUAGCGACGUCGCAUGGCAGGAGGUACCACCACCGUCACAAAACCUGAAGGUAGCCCCCGGCCCCUCGCCCCAUCCUUUGUCACACGGCGCACCACCCACCCCACCUGCCCAGCUUCUUGUACACAGCGCCCAUGUUGUUGCUGAGCUUAACGGCCAGCGCCCAUUCGUGCGCCUCGCGCGCCGCCGUCAUGGCCUCGCCCACCGCCUCCAGCGCCUCGUCCCAGCGGUUGAGCGCGUACAGCAUGUCGGCCAGGGACGAGGCCACCUCGGAGCGGAACUGGUGGGAGGGGGGAGGCCGAGGUGGAGUUGGUGAGGUGAAUGUGGGCAGCGGGACCAUAUAGGUCAACAUGCGCACAUCUUCCUUGUCUGCAACGCUCAUGUGUGUCCGCACUGGUACACUAGCUGCCCACUCGCAACACCAGACGACAACCCAUAUGCUGCGCGGCAAUGCACCCGCCGCCCAUGCCCUUACUUUGGCCUUGUGCGGCCCGGCCUUGAGCACAUCCAGCGCCUUGCGCGCGUGCUUCACUCCCACCACCCGGUUGCCCUGCACAUUCCAGGCCGUGGUGGCGGCCACAAGCAGCUGCUCCGCCUGGGGUACAGGGAUAGGACGCGGGGAAGGGCAGCGCAGGGUGGCAGCUGGUGGGACAAUUGAGGCGACAAGGGGCCAUCGAGGCAGCCACAGCUCCAACCUGCCUUGCUACCACCUAGUCUUUCGCUUCCCACACCUCGGCCUCAGCCUCCGUCUGAGCUUCCGCCUCGCCCUCCACCACCGCCUCGGCAUCCGCCUCCGCCUCCGCCACUGCGGUAUCUCCAUGGGCUGCCGGCGCCUCGUCCACCUCCACCGCCAGCGCAGAGGCCACCAGCUCGUCGUCCGCAGCCGCGGUGGCAGCGGCAGCCGGGGCAGCCUGUUAAUGAUGGAAUGGUUCAGUAAGGCCGCAAACUCAGGGUGCUGAAAGUGACGCGACAAGCUGACCCAAUAAGGCACUUCAGUUCCACGGACGCUCACGUGCGGCAAACCCACCCUGCUCUUCUGUUCCGUUGCCUUCCCCUUCUCCGCUGCCGCCUUGUCGGCAGCCGCCUUAUCGGUAGCCGCCUUCGUCGCCGCGACUGCCUGCUCCGCUGCCGCCUUCUCCGCUGCCACCUUAUCAGCGGCCGCCUUCUCUGCUGCCGCCUUCUCCGCUGUCGCCUUCUCUGCUGCCGCCUUCUCUGCUGCAGCCUUCUCUGCUGCAGCCUUCUCCGCUGCCGCCUUCUCCGCUGCCGCCUGCUCCGCUGUCGCCUUGUCAGCGGCCGCCUCGUCGGCUACCGCCUUGUCGGCCGUACCCUUGUCAGCCGCAGCCUUCUCCGCUGCCGCCUUCUCCGCUGCCGCCUUCUCAGCCGCAGCCUUCUCAGCCGCAGCCUGCUCUGCGGCCGCCUUCUCAGCCGCAGCCUUCUCAGCCGCAGCCUUCUCAGCCGCUGCCUUCUCAGCCGCAGCCAUCUCAGCCGCUGCCUUCUCAGCCGCAGCCUUGUCAGCCGCAGCCUUCUCAGCCGCAGCCUUCUCCGCUGCCGCCUUCUCAGCCGCAGCCUUCUCAGCCGCAGCCUUCUCAGCCGCAGCCUUCUCAGCCGCAGCCUUCUCAGCCGCAGCCUUCUCAGCCGCAGCCUUCUCAGCCGCAGCCUUCUCCGCGGCCGCCUUCUCAGCCGCAGCCUUCUCCGCGGCCGCCUUCUCAGCCGCAGCCUUGUCAGCCGCAGCCUUCUCCGCAGCCGCCUUCUCCGCAGCCGCCUUCUCCGCAGCCGCCUUCUCAGCCGCAGCCUUCUCCGCGGCCGCAUUAUCAGCCGCAGCCUUCUCCGCGGCCGCCUUCUCAGCCGCGGCCUUCUCAGCCGCAGCCGCGCUAGAGGCAGCCGGUGCUGGUGCACUGCGCUCCAUCACCGCCGGGCCGUUCGCAGCAGGCUUCGCCACUGCAGCCGCCGCUGCGGGGGCAGCAGCGACAGUGGCAGCCUCGGGCACAGGGGCACUGCGGCUGAUUGCAGUCACCGGGGCAGCGGCAGCAGCGGGUGCGGGCGCCGGAGGCGCAGUGACUGGUGGUGCAGCGACGGGUGCAGCUGCCGGCACCGACUUCGUUGGGGAAGCCGUUGGGAGUCCAGCACGAGCAGACGGGGUGGAAGCGGGUGCCAUGCGGGGUGACGCUGUGCUCGCCGCGGCCGCACGUGUGGGAGUUCCGGCAGCGGGCUUGGACAGCGACUUCUGUGGUGCAUCGUGCAUUGGAUGGCGGGGCGGACGUGCCGGUUGAAGUGACAACCACGGAUUGGGUCGCGUGUCAUCAGGCCCAGAUCAUGGAACUAUUACAAUUGAACACGCACCCGCGGCGUCGGAGCGUUGCCAGAGCGGCUGGCAGACUUUGUGAGGACUUGCUUCUUCGCUUUGCUGACGGCAGGCUUUGCAUUGCUAGAUCCCUUGCCAGAAAGCAGUAAAGCGGCAGCGGCGCCCAGACCAGCGACGGCAAGCACUCCCACGGCAGCAAGGGCAGCCACCGGCGGUCCAGCCUUCUUGUCCUUUUGGACAGUCGCCAUUUGUAUUACUUACGUAGCUACCUAGAAAACGGAAUAUCUGCACAUACAGUAUAAAGACCGUAAUUGCUGCCGGCUCCGCGAAGUCAUUUGCCCAUGCUGUGUUUUGAACCUUCUCAAGUUCCCAGACGAUGCCCUCUCUCAAGCAGUGGCAAACUAAACAAGUGCAUCUGCAUGUUGUAAAUCUUACCAAACCAAGGUGUUGCCACUCCUCCAGUUGGCUUUAGAAUUGUGCCGCGCAUUACUUGAGGGCCACCCCUGAAAAGAAUGGAGGAAAAGGCGCCGAGCACGCCCAAAGCAGAUGCAACAAGCGUAGAAGAUGGCCGUGCGGCGUCGCCGCGGUAUGGCUUCGCAUCUCAAGCCAAGGAGAGCUGCUCUGCCCUUUCAAGGUUGACGCUGGAGCUAUGGCGUCGUAUUCGCUUGGAAGUGGUCGUCGAGGUGAGCUGCAGACCGGUCCGCGUUCUUGUUGACCCCCACUCCCCGCAUGCCCGCUCUAACGCUCUCCGCCCUGGCUUCCCCCUCGGUUCUGCAGUGGCCGCUGCUCAAGCAGCGCUGGCGGAUUUUGCUUUUCGGGCUCAUCAUGCAGUAUGUGCACGGUAUCUUCACGCAGCUCGCCCACCGAAUGCACCAGCCCCAGGAGGAGCCGCUGCACGACGUUGGUUUUGACCUGACGCCGGUACGUUUAGGGUAGCGGUCAGCUCAGGUCUAGCUCCAGCACGCACCUUCGCGGCAUGGUCUGAUGGGCGCAACCACUCAUCAAUGACUUCUGAGCGGCCGCUACUCACUUAUUCGACACAGGAGCUUGGGCCGGAGCAGCACUGGGUUAGUGAGACGAUCUUCGGCAUUGCCUUCGCGACGUUCGUGUUGUGGACGUUCACCCCGUUCGUGACCCAGCGCAAACGGUUUUACACUGCCGUGAUGUGGUCGCGCCUGCUCAUGGUCCUCGUGGGUGAGUUCAGCGGGCUCUGUGCAGUGCUGCUGUUCAGUGGCAAGACGCAAGUGAGAGAGGGGCAGGCACAGGGUAGGGGCUGCAGGGUACCGUAGGCGCGCUGUGACGCUUCCCCCCGUACCGUACGUGUGCGCCCUUCACAGUGUGCCAGGCGCUUCGUAUCGUCACUUUCUCGGUCACGCAGCUGCCCGGCCCCAGCUUCCACUGCCGUGCCAGCGAGCCAACCGCGCGGCGCGAGUGGCCCUCGCACUGGACAGGGCACGUGUUCAUUGAUGUGGGCCGCCAGAUGUCCAAGAGCUGUGGUGACCUGAUCUUUUCGUCCCACACCACUUUCAUGCUCACUGGUGCGUGUGCCUUACGCCUUUGAAUCGUUUGCAAGCGCGUACGGUUCCGCGUAUGGUGUACAUGUGCUGCUCUCUUUGCCAGCCAUAGUGCACGCUGCAGUCUUCACUUUGCCUCUCACACCCUCUCGCCCCGCUCAUUCCUCUCUGCUACGCAUCCUGCUGCCUCCUUCAGGUAUCCUGGCCUACAACGAGUAUGGCUCCCUGGCGUUCAUGAAGGCACUGUCCUGGUUGAUGGGUGUCAUCAUCUCCAUCCUUAUCGUGGCCAGCCGCAAGCACUACACGGUGGAUGUGGUGAUCGCCUGGUACACAGUGCCCCUCGUGUUCUACACCAUGUACCGUCGCUGGACCACGCGGCGGCCCAUGUCAGACUUCAUUGGUGGCUCGGCGCUAUCAGCUUUUGACGACGUGGAUGGCGGGGAGCUGGAGCUGGAAGAGGUGAGACGGGAUUCAAGUGGAGCGGUCGAGGUGCGGGAUUUGCCGAAACAGCCGGAAGGGGAAUCUGCAGCGGCCUGGCCUAUCUUUCCGCGCCUUGCACCCCAAUCUGCGCCGCCGCAAUGUGGGAUGGAUGCCAUCUGUCGUAAAAUUGAGUGGGCGGUUGCCAUCGCAGGUUCUGAUUGACCGGGGGGCCGGGGGUAUGGAGGCGGGCGGCAAGACGGCUGCCAUGGGUGGUGCGCAGCCGCGUCCCAACACGCUGAAAAUAAGCGUGCGCUCUUCUCAGGACGGCCGGCACUUGCUGGGCAUGGGCCUGACUUUGCAUGCCAAGGACGUGGACACCAGCUCAUCAGGGAAAGGCGAGGCGGGCAUGGCGCGCUCUGGAGCGGGGCAAACGGGGCCAGGGGCGCGAGGUGCUGGGGCGCGGUCCUCGGACGCCGCUGAGAGCACGACCUCUGCCAGCACAGCUGCGCAGAUGGAUGAUGGCUCCCAACAGGAGCGCCGGGCGCAAGGUGGUCAGGCCUCGUCAACCGGGUCCUGGUUCUUCUCGCAGCGCAGCUGAUUGGCAGCGUGUGCGUUGACUGUCUGAACGAAUGAAGUGCGUGUGAUGCUGCAGGCAGUGAGAUGAUUGAACUGGAAGUGUUACAAUGACUUAUCAACGGGACAUUUUGUAGGCGGCAUAGGCAUGUGGGCCGAGUUGAUCCUCGCUGGAGUUGCAGCUGAAGCGAUAGAGCAAUAGCGCAGUGUCAGUCAUUGUAGUCAAUUGCAAAGCAUCUCUCUCGCCUUUGCGCUGCACCUCACCUUUCUCGAGCGAUGCUGCUAGAUUGGUGGGAGUGGACACGGCCGUGACGGGGUGACGCUGGGUACGAGUGGAAGCAGGGGGCGUCGCCUGGCCUGCCCCGGGCACACAAAGUGUAUGGUGCGUCGUUUGAGUGCAGGCGAAGUAGAUGCGUGGAGUCAGGUGGAGUCGUGGAGUCGGGUUCAUUCCGCAUCUAUUACUCCGCCGGUCUGCAAGAUGGGUGUGACCGGCGAAGCACUAUACUCUCCUGCGAGUUUCUGCCUCAUCGAUGUUACAUGUUGCACCAAACAGCUAGACGUGGACCCUAAGCGCACUGGCACUGACUGGCACUGUGGCAGUUCCACAAGCGACAAGCGUCUACCGCGUUUAGGAGCUCAUCCACCCGUGACUGGCCCCAUCGGCACAAUGUGUCAUCUUUAUGAAAUGAAAUGCACCGGGGUGAAGCCUGGCGCGGCUGGGAGAUACAUGGAGGGCACAUGUCUCACUGUUCGUUAACUAAUGCCGGGAGGAAUAGCUAGCCAAGUGAACUAUAUUCACAAUGUCAUCCUUCGCGACAAAUCCACUCUUUCAGCAGGAGAACGCGGUCCAUGCUUCCCUUGCAAACGGUGAGGGACCAUGGACUCCGAUUAUGUCACAGCACUGAAACUCAAAGACUCUUGCAAUCUGUGCAGGCAUACCGCCCGCUGGAGGGCCGGGGCAUGGGCGCGAACCUUCCUGGCAAGACGGCCGCGCAAGAAAGGAGGUUAGUUCAUAGGCCAGAUACGGUGAUGCGCCUAUGUGCCCAACGCCGGCACACACAGCAUAACACAGCGACCUGCCCAGGGCGAGGGACGAGGGGUCACUGCAGGGGCCGCCACGCACGGCCGUGUGACCUGAGCCCGUACAACGAUCCAUGACACACCCUGACCAAAGGCAACAACCUCAUGCCAAUCACAACCCUGUCCUACUCUUCAGCAUGAGGUUACGGCGCUGCUAGACUCCAUCCGCUCGAAUCGGGGUGACCCGAUGUACUCGGCAUUCGCCGCGCACAUGGACAAUUUGUAUCAGGUGAGGGUUGGCUUAGCAGUGCGUGCAAGUGUGGGCGGAGCGGGGCAUGUCCCCUCAGCGCAUGCGGGCAUAGGUUGGUUGCCUCUGAGAGCGCCAACCUUUCCUGGUGCCUCUACGGCCCUCGGCUCUUGCCGCGCUCUCACAUGUGUCUGUUGCUUUUGCUUCUGACAGGUGUUCAAGGAGCUACAUGAACAAGAUCAGCUGGAGAUACGGCAGUUGCUGGGGGCGUUGGAAGUGCAGCGGGCUGAGGCGCAGAAGUUGGCGAGCGAGGCGAACAGCGCUCGGCACGCGCUGCAGGUUGCGGAGAGGGACAGGGAGGCCAGCGCGGUGGCGGCAGCAGCGGCCAUGGCGGCAGCGCGGGCGACGGGCGCCACCGGUCCUUCCAGCAGAAGCCGCGUGGAGAUGGCCAGUGUUGGCGUGCAGAUGGAUGGUGAUGGCGACGCUGAUGUCAACAGCCGGGUUGUGGGGCGGGGCGUCGCAGGUGGAGGCGGCGGUGGCAGCGGGCGGCCUGAACGCGGCCGCGUGCGGCUGGCCGGCGGUCCGGGUGGCGGGGCGCUGGAGGAGGACGGCGACUCGUCCGCCAGCCCGCCCCGAGCGCUGCAGGCCUUGGGCAGCCGGCGCACGCGCAUGUGGAACACAGGUGGUGGGUCCGGCAGCAAGGCCAGCAGCGUGAUGGGGUCGCCAUCGGGCCGCAAGUGGAGCCGGCCCGCAUACAUUCUGUUUCUGCCCUACCACCUACACCCGGGACACCCGAUGUGGAGGUGGGUGCAAGGAGGUGGAAAUAUAACUAAUUUAACAUCAGCCGGACGUAGGGCCAUGGUAAAGCGCUAUAGUUCUCCCCAGCCGAGAAUGCUUGAUCCCCAAAUGUUGCCUUUACAGCAAUACUGCAACAAGGGGAGUCCGACGUGCAAAACUGCACUGUAAUCCUGCACCUGUUAUGCAGCAUUGCCCGGUCUCCACCUUGCAUUUGUGCGCCCAGCCCUCCCCGCUGCCCGCCUCCCACUGCCAAGGUUUUACGCGACGUGGCUGGAGUCUUGGAGCACGCGGCGCACCAUGUGGCUGGCGCUAGCGUGGCUGCUGGUGUUCUUGCUGGCGGUGGGGCUGCUGGUGGGGCUGCUGGUGCCCUGGGACAACCUCAGCAAGACCACCAUGUCGGAGCCGGCAGUGGCCAACAGCAGCUCCUCCGGCGCCACGGUCACGCUGUCGCUGAACCGGGCGGGGCUGGUGUACUACGUGGUGGUGCCCGAGGCCGCCACCAGCGGGGGACCCAGUGCCGCGGCAGCCACCAGCAGCAGCUCGGGCAGGUGGGUGGAUGACGUCGGGUAGGGGCACGUGUUGCAGUGCCAGCGUAGUUCUCGGGGGAUUCUGUUACUGCUUCGUGGGGCCGCGGCGUGCACAUCAUAAUGUGGCACGUCUAGGCCGUGUGGUGCCUGCAAGCUACUGAGCCGUUUCCCGCUGCGUUACAGGCGGCGGCGGCAUUUGGACGAGUCCGCGAGCUACGCUAGCGGGGGCUGGUGGGCCGAGCACGUGGAGGCCGGGUUGGGGACCCGAAGGGACUACGACCAGUGGGAUGGCGCGGAGGAACGGGUGCAGGGGAGAGGUGGCGACGGUCCGCUCAUAGCGCAGCUUGGGAGGCACAGCGGCGGUGGGCCGCACUACCUCAACCGCCGGCAGCUGCGGGGCCAGCACCCGCCCUCACACGAGCACCAGCUGCAUCCAGCCCUCCUCCCACAACAGCCGUACCACAUGUGGCCUCACUCUAUGGGGCGGCGGCGGGGGCGUAGCCUGGCGGAGAGCUCAUCGCUGCGGCGGCUGGACCUUCGGUCGCUGGAGCCCAAUGACCUGGUUGCUGUGGCGGCGGACGGCGGGGAUGACUCGCCGCUGCUGCCGUACGCGGUGGCGUGCGGGGUUGUGGACAUAUCAUCCAAGAACACCAACUACUCCAUCACACUGGCCGGCCGCCCCGAGCUGCUGCCUGUCAGCCUCACCAGCACCGGCGCGGCGGUGACGUUUGCUGCCACGUACAACAGCAGUGCGGCGACUGAGCUAGCGGAGCGGCUGGCGGCGGCGGCCAGCUCCACCGCUGCCGCAAUGGCUGCCGAGUGCGUGUCCAACUUUGGGCUGCAGUUGAACGAGACGUCGGCGCUGCCCAGUUGGUCGGGGGCGCGCUUCCGCACACGGCGCUGCCAGCGCUGUCCGCGGCUGCUGCCGGGCACCAGCUAUGUGGUGCUGCUGCUGGGAGACGGUGGGCGGCGCACCGGCGUGCAAAUGGUGCGGUUUGAGACCAGCAGCGUGGCGCUAUGACCAUGACUACGACAUGAGGACUCCCAUGCCGUAGUGACUGCUACUGCGCGACUGUGGGACUGUGACUAAGCAGGAGCCGGCAGCAGCAUUUCAUGCUGUGCGCGGCGCUGACUGACGCUGUGCCUGCAAGGGCACGUGUCAUACACUGUAGCUUUGGUGCGGAUAAGGGGUAUUGCUCGUAGGUAUUGCCACAUGGUGUGUGUUUGAUGAAGGGCACGUGUGUCCUUUUGUGGCGGUGGGGUGGUCUAUAGUUGGGUAGAUUGUGAGCGUAAAUGAGCAUGCUCACGGGAUGUGGGGCAUCGGUCACCCAGCCGGUCACCCACCCGGUCACCACCGCGGCGCCUGCACGAGGCGGAGGGCCUGAGGACCCUGAUUAACCCCGAGACCAGGCGAAGAUGAAUAGACCGCGGUACCCGUACUACUGUUGUGGCGUACUGACGUUCGAUCAUAAGAAUGGUUCGUGCGUAAUGUCUGCGCCCCGCGCAUGGUGUUAUUGUGUCUGACCUUGCGCGUCCAUGGACAAUUGACUGGCGACUGUGGCGACUCGUUGCGAGGUAAAGAGCCCGAGGCGCAGAAUUAAGAGGAAAGUCAUACUGGACUACACUUGUUUGUGUCUGUGUCUGCCGCCCACCAACUGGCUUAACAUGUGAGAGCCGCAGUUACGUAUGGUACUGACCCCACGACCGCAACCAGCGCUUCCGUGUACGGUGCGGGUGCGGGACUCUCCUUGAAUCAGACGGCUUGGUCAUUGUCGGCUGGGGCAACGCCGACACUGGCUACGGAGGUUGCGUCCGCAGGUCAGGCAGAGGUCCAAACCGGGCGCUGCUGCGCCUGCUGGUGGACAAGUACACGCACCUGGUGGUGUACGUGGACGAGUACUACACCAGCCAGGUACGCAUGUGCUCAUAAGGACUUCGCAGGGGCCGGUAUAGGGCGCAAGUAAUCAGCUGCAUAUGAAAUGCGUGAAUGCUGGUGUGCGCAAAGUGUGGACAGCGUCUGCUCGGUAACGGGCAGCGCUGCCUGCAAGUAGUGAUUCCGUUUGGGGGCUCGCGUGCCCGCGAUGUCCAAGCGUGCCAACACUGCGGGACUGUGUGGGUAAGCCUGGCACAGAUUUAGUCUGGUUCGGGGGGCCGGGUCAGGUAUCACCGUAUCAGACAGGCUCAGGUGCCGUCCGAUUGAACAUUGCAUCGCAGGGCCGCGACGCCAACUCUGCGACGAACAUGCGGCACGCGCUGAUAGAGAUGCUGCUUGGUAGAGCGCAGCCUGCGGCCCUGCGCCGCGGUGGCGGCGGCGGCGAUGGUGGUGGUGGUGCACAGGGCCUCGCGGCGGCAGCGGCCCUGUGCCCAGCAGUUGCGGCGUGCAUGUGCGUAGCGGAGGAGGCGAGCAAGGCCACGUGGAGGAGGACAGCGCGGCGCCGCCCGAGAAGCGCCGCCGGCGCGCAGGUUGAGGCCAGCCGGUGUCUAGUUACGGUCUUUGCUGGCGAGCAUAGCACCGCGCAGUGUUAGGCCGCAGCAGUGAGGAGUGUUGUGGCUAGAAGAUUUCCUGCUGUUUGGUUGAUUGCUGGCUAUGCUUGUGCUUGACAGCGGGGACGUGGCUGGACACAUGAUUGCGGGCCGUGCCUGUACGAACCGACCCCGGCUAUGUCCGGGAGAUGAGGUAGACGCUUGCGUCUUCAGAUUUGAGACGUGGCGACGUGGCGUGGGCUCAGCCCACUUUUCCCUUGCGGGGAACCACAUAUCUUGUUGUGUCCGAGCAUGCGCUUACGGCUUGGGCAGACUUGCCUCGAGAAUCGAGCACGAGGCCAUGUGUGUGGUGGCAUCAGGGUGGUAGUUUGAUAGACACUCGCCGGUGAAAGACUGUACCCGAGAUUCAUAGCAGCUGACGAGGCCACGAGGGUGGCAUGCACAUAAUUGGGGCGCCGCGCACAUGGCAGCGCUGUGUAAUCGUCCUUACAUUCCGUCGGCAUCAGCAUGCACAUGCGUCGAUAGUCUCCCGUUGGCUGUGGCAAUACCGCGCAAAGGUACAAUCACUAUCCAAUCAUACGUGCAGCCGUUUCCAGCUUGUCGUUGCACAACUCCUCGCAUAUGCAGCUGCAAGUAGGCACGGGAUAGACUGCCGGCCGUACGCAUGGUAUGACCUUCACUGUGUGACCCUCAGGCACACCCGCCCCCCCCCCACACACACGCACACAUACCCGCACCCUCAUUCCACGCACACACGCAAGUAUAAUCACCACGAAUGCACGCACGUACAGCAGCACCCCCUCAGCACCACUGGGUCACGUCGCCGCACUGGCUGUCGCCGCCGCCUCGUCGAGCGCCUGCUGCUGACGAGCCGCGUUCUCCCUGUGCGAGAGAGCAGGAGGGCAGGUGCGUAUGCAAUGGGGUUGCAGCGCUGCAAGACACGGUGUGCAUGUCGAAACACGUGUUACUGCACAGCCCUUCCGGAGGCCUGUCGCCCGCCGCAUCAUGCCUUCCUCACCUCUCCGCCUUCUCCCGCGCCGCCUCUGCCCGCGCCCUCUCUCGCGCCGCCUUGGCCUCUAUCUUCUCCAGCUGUAUGCCGUACUGCGGAUCCAGGUAGGGGUCGGUGAAGCCGCCCUCCUCCGCUGCCGCCGCCGCCGCCAGCGCCGCCGCCACGUGCAGCAGCGCCUCCUUGGGUCCCGCCGCCGGCCCAGACGCGCGGGCCGUGUCGCUGCCGCCAGUGGCCGCCGCCACCUCCGUCAGCGCCGCCGUCACCACGCCCAUCACCCGCUGCAUCAGCCAGGCACGGCCGGCCGAGGCGCGACCGCCGCGCAGGUACUGCUGGUAGGAGGCCUCGGCGCCCGCUGCAGCCGCUGCAGCGGUGCGUGACAGCGCCUCCGCCGCCUCCGCCUCAGCUGCCUGGCGCUGCGCCUCCGCAGCAGCCGCAGCAGCCUCCGCCUCUGCCACCUCCGCGGCUUCCGCACUCGACUGCCGCGGCUCGGGCGGCGGGAAGCCGUCGAAAUUGUGAGGCACUCCUACGGACUCCUCCACCUGCCGCUCCAGUGCCAGCAGAGGCGGCGGCAGCGGCAGCAGCGGUGUGCCGGCCACAGCCCCCAGCGCCUGUGCCGCCGCCGCAGCCACCGCGGCCGCCACCGUGGCGGGCACACCGGCGGUAAGCGGCGGCUGCGAGGGCGGUGGCAGCAGCGUCACGACUGGCCCCGUCUCCAGGGUGGGGUUGGUGACGGCGGAGAAGGCGGCCCCGCCGUCCACGCACAGCGCCACCAGGCCGCCGUGCUGCGGCAGCACCAGCGGGGGCGGCGCGUCAGCCGGGCCUCCUGGGCCGCCAGCCCGCAGCGACACGUCCGGACUGGCUGACUCAUCCAGGUCCAUGGUAACCCCAUUGGGUCGGGGCGACGUCGCGAUGCCCUCGCCCGGCUGCCCGCCCGCCGCAGCCGCCGCCGCUGCAGCCUUGGCCGCCCGGCGCUUGGCCUUGAGGGUGCUGUUCUCGGCCGCAAUGCGCGCGCGCUCCGCCUCCAGCCGCGCCUUCUCCGCCUCCCACGCCGCCUGCGCCGCCGCCACCCGGCUGGCCAGGUCCUCUGCAUCCUCCGCCCGCCACGCCCGGAAAGCGGCCAGGCGGCGGCCCAGGCCCGGCUCCGCAUAGUGGCCCAGCAGUGCGGCGCCCGGGCUGGCGGCUGGCGGGGGCGGCGCGCCGUCCUUGGACUUGCCGCCGGCCUUGUCCGCAGCGCCACCCUUCCUGGCGUCCUUACCCUUCUUGUCCCCCGCGUCCGAGUGGAUGCUCGUCUCGGCUGCACGAAAUGAAGUGAAAGGUCCAGCCGGAAGCAAGGUAGAUUACGGUAUGUAAAAUGUUGAUGGCAUCAAGUACACUCUGCGGUUGCUGCCGUCAGAACACGUCAUUCACCGCAUGCCGAGCAUAGUGUCUCGUGACUGCCCUGGGCCCGCCUCCCUCCUGCGCCUCAGCUCACCCGCCAGUCGUGCCGCCUCCUCCUCCGCCAGCGCCUCCAGCGCCGCCAGCCGCGUCCGCAGUUCCUCCUCGCCGCCGGGCAGCUCAAGCUCCAGCACGUGCGUGGGCGCAGUGGCGGGGUUCACCACCAGCCGCAUGCCCACCGGCACAUCAAACACGUCAGCACAGGCCCCGGGAGGGUGGACCGGGUGGCCGGCGCCGUGCGCGGCCGCUGUCGGCGCCGCCGCUGCAGCUGCCUUGCCAGCCGCGGCGCCCUUCUGUCCUGGCUUCCCAGGCGGGGGCAGAGGCGCUGCCGCUGCGGCCGCUGCAGCUGCAGCUGCCGCCGCUGCUGCCGCUGCCGCCGCUGACGCCUCGUCGUGCUCCAGCUUAAAAAAGGCCGCACGAGCCUGAGCUGCACUGCGCGGGUAGCCGUCCAGCACGAAGCCGCGGCAGGCAGCGGGGCAGCGCCGGUCCGAAACCGCCGCUGCCAGCAGCGCACCCAGCGUCUUGGCGGACACCCGGCCGCCGCCACCCCAGCCGCCGCCCGCCCCUUCGUCCUUUUUGGACUCCUUGGACUCCUUGCCGCCUGGUGCCGUGCCACCCGGCCCCGCAGCCACCUCUGCCUGUGCCUGCUUCAGCAGCGCCGGGUCCGCCACUGCCGCGCUCAGCCCCGCCGCUGCCGCCACCGCGGGGUCGGCCGCCGCCGCCAGCAGCAGCGGCACACUGAUGUAGGCCAGCCCGUAGCGGCGUGCCAGGCGCCGAGCCAGGUGCGUCUUGCCGGACAGCGGCGGCCCCGCCACCAGCAGCCGCAGCGGCGUGAGGCGGCGGCGCUCCGCGAACUCGGCCGUCACCUCGGCCACGUGCGCCGGCAGGCCGCCCGGGUGCGCGGGCGCCCAGUCGGGCAGCGGCGGCUGCAGCGGUGUGGUGGUGAGCGCCAUGUCCAGCAGCAUGCGGUCGCAGGGCGGCGCCGAGUGCAGGUGCAGCUGGGAUUCGGGGAUGAAGCUGUGCGUGUGCAGGAGGAGGGCACAGACAGGAUUUCGGGGCCGGCGGUGGUUAGCAGAGAGCAAGAGGGCACAGCUAUUGGGAAUGCGGUUGCCGCGCCCUGCCCAUGAAUCCAAACCCAGAGUUCCUGACUCACUCGAUGGUGGGGCCAUGCUCGUCCUCGUCCGCCUGCACCCCCGCCUCCGCCCCAGCCCCGGCAGCAGCGGCUGGCCGCUUGGCGCCUCCAAGGCUGAGCUCUGCCACAAUGGCGCGCACCAGCUCCACCUGGCUGUAGCGGCUGCCGUCCGUCACCAGGUGGUAGCUGCCGCCCGGGGGAGGGUGGGCGGGGGCGGUGCCGGGCGGCGGGCCGGCGGUGCGCGGCGCGGUGCCGGCCGUGCCCACCAGCAGCCGCGUGGGGGAGCCCGCGGUGCCAGGCGGCGCGGUGCCAGGAGGUGGCGGCGUGGCCUGCGGCCGCAGCGACUGCGUGCCCGGCAGCAGCGACUGCGUGCCCGUAAGCGAGACGCCGGCGGUCUGCUGCCCCUGACCCUGUGUUGCGCCCAGGCCGCUGCCUGCACCUGCGCCGCCCAACCCUGCCAGCGCCAUGACGUAGGAGGCCAGGUCCGCCACAUGCAGGGUGGGCAGGAUGUUGCUGCCGCGCCCGUACACCAAUGCACGGGGCGGAGCCGGAACCGGCUCGCCGGGCUGGGGCGCCGGCGCGCCCGGUCGCGCCAGGCACUGCCUGCUCCACGCGGCCUUGAAUGCGUUGAAGAAGCCCGCCUCGUCCUCGCCCUGCCCGUACAGCAGACCCGGACACACCACGCAUGUGCGCAGUCGGCCGCGGCGGCUGCCCCGCAGCACCAGCUGCUCCAGCGCCAGCAGCGCCCGCGCCGACACGGCAGGGCAGCGCCGCGCCACGUCGUCGGGCGCCGAGAAGGUGGGCAGGUUGGAGGUGGAGGGCCGGCCGCCGCCGCCAGCCCCGUCCGACCUGCCCAUACCCAGGCCAUGGUCUGAGCCCAUGCUACCGGCGGCGAAGGGGUUGACGUUGGGCGCGGAGGGGCGCACGCCCAGGACACCGCCGUCACCCCCACCCACUCCCACUCCGCCCCCGGCAGCUGCAGACCAGUCCACGUCUUCGCCGGCCUCCCCGCCGGCGCCGUCGAAGCCGUUCAACAGGCCCUCCACGCCGUUGCCGUUGCCCAGCAGGCUCCACUCGUUGACGGCGCCCAUGCCGCUGAUGUUGAAACCACUGCCGCUGGAGAACACCGCCUCCGGGUUGGGGCGUGUGGCGGCCCACACCAGCGGACUGGAUACACCCACAAACAGCACCUCGCGCCCGCCGAACUGCGAGUACGGCAAAGGAGCAAAGGUCGAGGGUGCAAGGGAACGGGCUACGAGGGUGGGACCGAAGGAGGUGCUUGGUAGCCGCACCCUCAGCUCAAACUGCACCUCAGGUUCCCUGGAGUGACUGCUAUAUGUCUGUAUCUCAUAGCGCGACGCGGCCCCCAGCUCUCCCGCUCACCGGCUGCUGCGCCAGGUGCACCAGUGCGUCCCGUGAUUCCUUCUCAUUCCCCAGCAUGUCGUACACCACCACAUCGGCCGUCCCCAGCAGCUGCUUGUGAGCCACUGCAGCGCCGUCGUCAUCAGCCUGCGGUGCACACCAACUGUCUCAACAGGAAGCACACGCCGUUGCUGCCCCCCCCCCCAGAUGCCCGCCCGGAUGACGGCAGCCCGGUAUAAGCAGCAGCAGUGUCCCGCUCUCCUGCCACAACGCUCACCUGCACCAAGGUGCUAACGCAACUCGGGACCUCCUUCGUGCCGGUGGCGACACCCGACACGGAGUGCCCCGCGGCCUGGUGCGCGCACACAUACAGGGGUACAGGUGACUUGCAGCCCCUUUAAGCUGCAGUCACUUCUCUGUCCCGCUAAGGCAGUCAGCUAUUUUGGAAGAGUCGGGACCGCACAUGCCCUGCACAUCACGAUAGCGCUUACCGCGAACGCCUCCGCGACAGCUCUGCCUGCAUAGCUAUUUACAGGGUAGACAAACACGUUUUUGGCGGUGCUUGCCAUCCCUGCUCGACUUUGACUUUAGAAUGCUCUAAACAUCAUUUCGUGCGUUGUGUUUAGUUAGCAAACACGGUCACGUCGAGUGUAAUUAGUUAAUAUCAGCGAUGCAAAUGACCUUGUGCAUUCCUCGAUGGUCCUUUUCGGUCUUUCCGCUGCACAGGCCCCAUGCCCGUCCUCGGUCCAAUUGCGCAAGCGCUCAAACGCAGCUUACGACUACCACUGAGUAUUAAGUCGAGCGCUUAUACAUGUUUGAGUAUCAAGAUGGACGCUCAGUAGGUUGACUUUUUGAACACAACAAGAGCUGCAAGCCAUGCCGGUCGUCGCCUCCAACUCGACCCACACUCAUCAGAAUGGAGAGCGAAGCCAGUGAAGUGAGAACGAAAAACUUUGUAAAUGGGGAUGCGUACAGCGGCAGCUGGUCGCUGAGCGGACAGGUCAGAGAACAGGUGGUGGGCGGGUGUGGGCAGAGUCACGGUGACAGGGUAGCACUUCAGCCGUGCCAGGGCUCCGCAGGGCCCACACAUGAAAGGUGGCGGUCUUGCACGCCAGCCGCACCCACCGUCCAGCGCGAGGCCUGUCGCCUGCACUGCCGUCGCCCCGCGCCUUUCACUCGCCCGUCUCUUGUGCUGUGUGCCACUUUCUGUGCACGUCACAGCCGGAUGGUGAGGGCCGAUACACAUGGCGUGACGGCAGUUGCUAUGAGGGCUCGUGGAAGGUGCGCUGUCGGGAUGCCGGCCAUGUGGGGGGCGUUGUGCGUCGCUGCGGCUGCCCGUGAAGCCCCGCAUGCACACACUGUGCCUCGGCUUGUGCGCCGCUGCCUGCGCAGGAGGGGCUGCGGCACGGUGCCGGCAAGUACACCUGGAGCAGCGGCGCCACGUACCUGGGUAGGAGGCGCCUGGGCACCACAUAGGGAGGCAGCUAGCGGGGUAGGGUGAGGCAGAGGCGGGCGGCAACAGCACUUGGAACCUCCCAUCGCGGCCUCACGCGGCCCCAUGACGCCUGCCCCGCAUGCGCCGCUUGCCGCCCCCACACCCCAGGCGAGUGGCGGGAUGGCCACAUGUGCGGUGUGGGCACGUGGGAGGCGGGCGAUGGGCGGUCGCGGUACACGGGCGGUUGGCAGCGGGACGUGCGGCACGGACUGGGCCGGCAGGUGUACGGCAAUGGUGACGUGUACGAGGGGUGAGCGGGCUGGCGUGCCGUGUAUGUGUUUGUUUGUGUGUGUGCCGUGUAGGCAUGGAGGCGGGGCCCGUACAGCUGGGUCAUUGCGGGCACUCACUGGGGCACUUGUGGGGGCACGUCACACGGUAGCGCCAGGAGGGGUCACCUAAAGCGUGUGACGUGCUGGUGGGCGGCCCUCACACUCACAGCGGCUGGGGCUCGCCCCGGGCCUCACUGCAUCUCAAGCAUCCGCAAUGCCCUCCACCGCCCUGCCCCACCACCCACCACCAGGCUGUGGAAGCUAGGCCACCCGUACGGGCCUGGACGCUACGUGUACAGCGGCGGUGGCGGCGGUGUGGGACAGGGGGCGGGCUUGCUCGGCGGCGGGGGCGGGGGCGGUGGCGGCGGUGCGGGCGCCUGGGGAGAUCCAGCGGCGGCUGGUCUGGCUGCGGAGGGAGCCGAGUACGACGGCGAGUGAGUAAUGCGCUGUGCCGCCAUGAUGUGCCGUAUGUGUCACCGGUCAGCAGGGCCUGUCGAAGAGCCUGUCACUAUGGGAUGCGAUAAGGGGUGGUGCAACGGGCGCAGGUGAUGUAUUGCACUUGACUGCCCCUGCUGGCCGCGCUGUCGGCACCCUCCUGCCGCCCGCUCCCUCCCAGGUGGCGGGCCGGGCGCAUGGCGGGUCAGGGCACAUUCGUGUGGCGCAGUGGGGAGCGCUACGACGGCGAGUGGAAGGUGCGGGCGGGGACGAGGGUGACGGGGCCGCGUGCUGACACGCACCGUCUCAGUGCCAGGUGCAUCCGCAACGUGCACCUGAUUCCUGCCCCAGUACGGCGGCGCCCUGCCCUGAUGCUGGGCGCACCCGCUGACACCCGGGCCUGCCGCUGCCGCUGCCGCUGCAUGUGCAGGACGGGCGCAUGCACGGUGUGGGGCUGUUCACGGCGGCGGACGGCUCCACACACGAGGGUGCGGGGCCGGGCAGAGGGGGCGGGGGGCCGCGGCAGAGGGGGCGGGGGGCCGCGGCAGAGGGGGCGGGGGGCCGCGGCAGGCAGUACCGAUAUGGCGCGUCGCUAGGGGUUGCUGGGUGGGCGGGUUCUGGGUCGGCGCCACGUCGGCACCGGGCGCAAUGGCAGGCAGCUGUUGUCUUACAGGUCGAGCACUGGAGGCCCACGUCGCCCAAGUCGCCCACACCCCUCAUUCGCACGCCCGCAUGGUGGCGCAGGCAUGUGGCGGCGCGGCCGCAAGCACGGCGUCGGCAUCUACCGCCCCGGCGGUGGCGGUGGCGGUGGCGGUGGUGGAGGUGGUGGGCGGCGCGCUAGUCUGGGCUCCAAGUCCAUGGGGCUGCCGGGGGCGGGGGCGGACAGUGGCCCCGCCUCGCCGCGCAGCUCCUUCCAAAUGUCGGCGGCCGCACGCGGCUGGCUGGCCGGCGGCGGAGCUGGCGGGGGAGAGGGCGGGAGCAGCGGCCGUGGCCCCGGCUCGCAGGGCCUGGAGGCAACAGCAAGCAUUGACGGCAGCUUUGCGGCGACAGGCGAAGUUCCCAUUCGCUUUCCCUCGCUGCCGACAUCACCGGGACCCUCGCUGCCGGGCAGUCCGCGUGUGGGGUCAGUCAGCGGUGGCGGCGGUGUGGCGGCCUGGGCGGCCUGGGGCGCCUCCAGCCCCACCGCCUCUCCCGCAUCGCGCACCGACUCGCCGCGGCGGCCCCCGGGCGCAGCCGACACAGGCGGCGGCGGCGGCGGUUAUGGCAGUGGCGGUGCUGACGGCGGGGCUUCCAGCGGUGCCAGCCAGCAGCACACCUCAUCCCGCUCGCCCACUGGCAGCGGCUUACAGCCCUAUGUGGCAGCUGCCAGUGCCGCCACCGCGGGAAGCACCGGCGCCGGUGGAGAGCCGGACGGCGGGCAGGCGGGUCGCACCUGCGCGGCGCUGCUGCCCUUCCAGCAGCCGCUCAACCCGCCAGACCCCGCCGCGCCGGCGCCACGGCCAGGCCUCCCUGCAGGCGGCGCGGGCGCUCCGGGCGCCUCUGCCGCUGGGCGUAAGCCGCCCUCCACGUCCACGUCCGCCACCCCCACCUCUGCAGCGACCGCCAUGCAGUCGACCCCUCAUCAGGGGUCGGGGCCGCAGCGGCACCCCCCGGCGCACCUGGUGUGGGUGCGCGGCUACGACCGGGGCGUGCCGCUGCGGGAGACCGGGGUGGCGGCGGAAGACGUGGAGGGCCUCAUGCCGACAGGAGGGGCGGCAGGACUGGGGGCAGGCGCCGGCGGGGGAGGCGGCGCGGGGCGCGGUGGCGGCAGGUGCGUGCAGCAGGCUGAUGCAGGCUAGGGCUAGGCCUAGGGCAAGUGCGCAUGCAUGUAGCGAGAUCGCGUGGCUGGGUGGACUGAUGCGCUGUCAGCUGCCGCCCGCCUGCGCGUCAGGCACGUGCCCACUCAUCACUGCGCCCCCACCCCACACGCAGGGAGCACGGCGGCCUGCUGCGGCGGCUGCGCGGUGCGGCGGCUGCAGCGGCUGCGGGCAUGGGCGGCUCCCGGCCGCGCCUGGGUGUGGCUGUGACUCGGGCGCACGCCUCGUACGCGCUCAUGGUGGCCCUGCAGUUGGGCAUACGGUGGGGAGGCAGGGGGGCAGGGAGGGAGGGAGGCAGGGAGGGUUGUAGAUGAGCGCUCUCCCCCAUUGGCGUCAGCCAAAGCAGCCCCCGUGGACACAGCACCCAUGUUGCUCUGCCCCUCCUGCGCCUCCUCGCUCCUGCGCCUCCUCGCUCCUGGCUGCCCCCGCCUGCAGAUACAGUGUGGGCCGCAUCAGUCAUGCGCCACUGCCGCGCACCGCCAGUCGGGACGAGUACAGCCUUAAGGUAGCCGUGUGGGGGCGGGGGGAGCCGUUCAUGAGGAAUGGAGUGAUCACAUCACAAGUAUGCCGUGCCAGUAGGAACAGCAGGAACAUGCCUUUGGUGCCAGCGCGUUGUACCGCCCGCGGGGAUGGGGCGGGGAGGGGAGUACAUGCCAUCGUGGGAUCGAAUUGUCGCCCAUUCCAGGACAUACAGUGCAGUGCAAGGCGAGCUCCAGGGGCAAACCUCAGCUUGGGGGCCGUGUGCAUGCGCGGCAGGCUGCUGCUCAGGACCAGCUCUCCCCCGCCCCCUCUGCCCCCACGUUCCCCCCUGCAGGUUCAUCAGGACUUCCCCCGCGGCGGCAGUGAGAUGACGCCGGUGCACCCGGCGGAGGACUUCCAGUGGACGGACUUCGCGCCGCUCACGUUCAGGAGGUGCGCGGCGGGGGGGGGCGGACGUGGGGCGGCGGUGAGCCUGCGGACUGGGGCGGUGGUGUCCUGCCCCCAACUCACGGGAUGUCUGUCGGGGUAUGUGGGGCUGGUACAACAUACGCCGGGCUCGAGGCCCGCUCUGAUUAGGCCGCUGUUGGCUCCCCGCGCAGUCGCUCCCGCACCUGGCCCCCUGCCCCCGGCCCGCCACGUCUACCCUGCACCCGCCCGCCCCCGUCCUCCCCCCUUCCAGGCUGCGCGAGCUGUUCGGUCUGGACGCCUCCUCCUACAUGCUGUCGCUGUGCUGCGACCACUCGCUCCGCCACCUGGCCAGUCCGGGAAAGAGCGGCAGCGUGUUCUUCCUAAGCCAGGUGGGCGGGCGGGGGGCCGGAGGGGAACGGGGGCAACGGGUGGCAGCCAGCAGCUGCUGGGCCCCACCCUCCUCCUCGCAUGCCCAUCUACCAGACGCCGCAACUGCCGCCCCUCUCCGCCGCCCAUCACAGGAUGAGCGGUUCUUCCUCAAGGUGGGCGCUGCCUGCUGCGGGUUGUGUGAGGCUGGGGUGGGGACUGGAACCCCAGGGUGCAGGCCUGUGGGACUGCAGGACUGCAGGUGCAGGUGCAAAUGCAGGUGUGGGGAGGCGGUGUCGCCUGGCCGCACACACCCGCGGCGUCCUCGGCAGUAUCCAGGAGCCCGUGCCCCCACCCGAACCCCAGUGUGUUGAGUCACCUCGCUAACCAGAUGGCUUGCGUGUGGACGGCUGUCCCCUGUCCCUCCCUCCCUCCCUCUCCCUGCCUCCGCCCCCCCCCUCCCAGACCAUGUCCCGCGCCGAGCUGUCGGUGCUGCUGGCGCUGCUGCCCGCCUACCACCGCCACGUGGAGCGCCACCCGCACACCCUGCUCAGCCGCUUCCUGGGGCUGCACGCAGUCACCACCGCGGGAGGAAAAACGGUGAGGGGGCGCUGGAAGGAGAGGGAGGGAGGGAGGGGGCAUGGCUGCUGGCAGGGAGCAAUGGCACACGUGAGCCCGUCAUAUGACCUGAACCUCUAACACCUCACCCCUGCCGGCGCCUUCUUCCAUCGCCUCGCGCGUCCUGACACGGCCGCAGUACCGCUUUGUGGUGAGUGCGCCGUGAUCGGCAUCGGUGCUGUUGGCAUACGCGUGUGUUACCACACGGGGCAGUGCUGCUUACCACCUGCAUCGCCACCGCCACCCCACCCCACCCCACCCCUCACUCCUACCCCUGACAACCUGCAGGUCAUGUCCAACCUGUUCCGCACGCCGCUGCCGCUGCACCGCAAGUACGACCUCAAGGGAUCCACACUGGGCCGCACUGCAGGGCCGCGGGCCGCAGCCGCCGUGGCGGCAGCGGCCGCCGCCACCCCCUCCUCCCCUCUGCCCGGCACCGGCCCCGGGGCGCCCGACCCGCCUCCGCCUGCCUCCUCCGACCCCGGCCUGAUCCUGAAGGACUUGGACUUGGACCUCACCUUCCGCCUGGAGGAGGGCUGGCGCGAGCGCCUGCUGCUGCAGCUGAGGGCGGACUGCGGGCUGCUGGCGGCGGCAGCAGGGGUCUCGGGGGCAGCAGGGGCCUCGGGGGCAGCAGGGGCCUCGGUGGUGACUGGUGUGAUGGACUACUCGCUGCUGGUGGGGGUGCACUUCAGGCACAGGGACGCGGGGUCGGGUGGAGCAGCAGCCAACAGGGCCGGACAGGCGGCGGUGGGGGCGCAGCAACAGCAGCAGCAGCAGCAGCAGCUCGGGACAGGGGCCGGAGCGGGGGCCGGGCAGGCGGCGGCCCAGGGCCAGGGCGAGGCGGGGUCUGGUGCUGGUGCUGGUGCUUCCGCCGCCGCCGCCGCCGCCGCCCCGCGCAACGCGCUGCCGGAGCACAGCGACGCCACGGAGCUGGACUCAGAGUGAGUGGCCGCAGGGCGGGGUGGGCGGACAUUGGGAGGUGGGGCCCCAGGGGCUCUGUUUGCGAGGGUGGGAGGUGGAGGCAGUGGCCGCCCUUCCUAAAGGCUUACAAGCUACUGCAUGGGCAUGACCCCACUCCCCUCGUGCGCACCCACAUACGGUGCACACCCACCUUCGCCCUCCUCCUGCUGCUCCUCCUCCCGCCAGGUACCGGCGCCUGCAGGAGCGCAUCUGCCGGCUGCGGCUGCGCCCCGAGGCCACUGCCGACCUCAUGGAGCUGGCCAGGCUCAGGUGCGGGCUGGGGGGGGGGAGGGGGGGGGGGAGUGCAUUCAUGUUAGUUAAGGAAAUGGUAGACGGUCGACCAUCUUGGGGAACAGCAGGGGGAGGGGGGAGGGGGCAGGACAGCUGGGGCAGCAGCAGGAACUUACAGGGUGGCCAAAACAGGGCCGGGUGGAGGUGGCUGGGGCGCUGGGGCUGCCUGCUCGUGCUCGCCAGCCUGCAUUGCCCAGUGCCAGCUGCGCGUCUCCGUCUCAUCUGCCACCCGCCCCGCCCCCCAUUACCAACACACACACACACACCCACACACACACACACCCACACACACUGCAUCGCAUACACUGUCUUUGCGCAACGUUUUCCUUGUGCUCUUUAACACACACACACACACCCACACACACACCUCAGGAUGCUGGCGCCGCGGGGUCGUGGGCGGGACAACGCCGCCGCACUGAUGCUGGGCGCACGGGACGAGGCGGCUCGCGGCCGGGCCGGCUCCGCCUCGUCUGCAGGUGGUGGCGGCGGUGGUCGGCGCGGCUCCGCCUCCUCGUCCACCUCUGCGGGGCCCGGCGGCGGUGGCGGUGUGUCGGGCCUGGCAGCGCUGUCCGCCAAUGACGAGCUGGCGCUCAGUCUGGGCCAGAGCCGUGUGCAGCUGGGCCUCAACAUGGCCGCAACAGCAGUGCACAAGGUAAUCACGUAGAGGCAGUAGGUGGGAGGAAAGAAGCGGGAGGCGUGUGAGUGAAGCUCAGUCAGUCCUUCGUCGCCGCUGCACUGCCGGGUCGUGUCCUCGGCUCCUCACCCUGGCCCCCCUCCCAGCACGGCUCCACGCCAUCCAGCAACGCCCUCAAACCCGUGUCACCUCGUCACCAGGACGGCCGGGAGGAGGAGGCGGUGUUAUGGUUCGGCAUCAUCGACUUCCUGCAGCCCUACAACACCUCCAAGCGGCUGGGUGAGAUAUGGUGGGGGUGGAUGGGGGAACGGGUAACACUGACGAUGAGUACCGUAUCAGGGUGCAGCGAGGGGCCUGCACCCGACACUCCCUGGUGCCCAUCACAUAAUCGGUGUCGGUUUGCCGCCGCCCUCCUGCCAUUUACAGAGCAUGGGUUGAAGUCUGUCAUCCACUCGGCUGCGUCCAUCUCCGUAUCGCACCCGGUAUCUUACGCCAACCGCUUCCAGAACUUCAUGCAGCGCGUGUUUGUGCCCUAAGCGACAUGAGCUAAAGCUGAGUCAGUGAGGCGCUGUGCGGUGGUGUAAGACUUGUGCAGGACGAAGGCUGGGCGGCUCGCUGGGCUGGCUCGCCCUGGUCGUGGCAGGUCGUGGCAGCCCAAUGGCCGUGGCAGUUAGGAUUUGCAGAUCGCGAGGCUUGACAGUUCAUCGGUGGAAGGGUUUCGCUAUGUAAAGCAUUUGAUACGAUAUGCGCUCCUCCUGCAGCCAUAAUAUUUCGCUCAGCGCGGAAUCCAGUGCAGUAGAUAUUUGCUUAUCAGCAGUCCAGCGCAAGAACCCCUGUUUGAACAGCCAAGCUACAACACAUAACAUCAUAGUUAUAAUGCGAUACCGCUCGUGCAUUGCUGUUUCGGCGCAAAGCGUGCGUCGGGACGUCACAAUUGCAAGGCAUCCUCGCGGGCCUCGCGUCGCCGCCAUUGUCUACGCCAGCCAGCCACGUGGACCUGGUCCAAACGAGCAUGACAAGAAAGAGCCUCGUGGCGAGGUACGGUGCUGGAGCGUUGGUUUGGGCUUUGGGCGCAGCACUGCCGUCCCUGACACGACCUCCGUCCUGACCUCACUGUUGUGUCGGUGUGUCCAACCUGCUCCCACUUGGCCACAGGCACACCUGCUCGGCAAGCUCCUCAGGGGCGUGGGAUCUCGGCUGGAACAUAUGGCGGCUUUUCUGAAGCGCAGCGCCGAGCCUGUCCCGCCUCUGAACGCCGAGUCGCAGCUGACGGGACACGGGGCACCGCAAGCACCCUUGGACUCGCCUCCGCUGCUGGCGACUCCUCCUGACCUGAAGCUAGGGGUGGAGCCGACGCCUCCCGAGGUGCUGCCGCGGAGCUCAGACGCGGGUGAUGGUGGUGGAGACUUGCUAGAGAGGCAGGCCUCGACUGCUGCGGCUGCUCCCGAGCGGCCGGUGCCUGACGAAAGCGCGCUGUGGCGGGAGGGGCUGAUCCGUGUGGUGAACGACCUCAUCGCCAAGGUGCGCGGCAGAUGAGACACGACCUGAUCACGGCUGCUUCUAUAUGUUGUUCAUUUGCUUGCAUCUUGCGCAAAUGGCUUCAGGCCAUUCAAUGGCCUGGGGCCCGGCCGGUGUUCGUUUGCCGCUGCUGUAGCAGGGGUAAAGUCGUGGGUGUUGUCACUCUUGCCUGAAAGCACUUCACUCCUGCCUGAAAGCAGCGCCCUUCCUCUCCCACAAAUAUGCUCCCGCAGAUGACCUCGCUGGAUCUGGAGCUGUGGGAGGAGCGCCGCCACUCGCAAGAGCUGCGCGCCGAGAGGGACGCGCUGGCCACCAACCUGCGGCAGGCGCUGGAGGCGCUGGAGGUGAUGAAGCGGCAGCAGGAGGAGCAGACACGGGAGGUGGGUUGGAAGGCUCAGGCACCCGCCACAACACCACGCCAUGCCCCUGCUAGGCCAAAUUGAACUUCAAAUUGCCACUUCCUCCCAGAUACCUCCCCUGCUGUAACACGUAUGGCAUCCGGGGUGCGCUCUCUGUGUGUGUAUGUGUGUGUGUGUGUGUGAAACAAAAACAAACGGAACAAUUCCGCCAUGUGUGUGUGUGUGUGUACGAUAUGUGCAGGCAGUUGCCGCCGCCCUGCGGGACGUGGGGCGGGGCGCUCAGCAGUCGGACCGCCCGCUGGACUUCUCGCACAUCGCCGACCGCAUGCAGCGGCUGCAGGAGUUCCUGGUGACGUACACGCGUGCGGUUUCCGACGUGCGGGCACUGGAGGGCCAGAUGGGGCCGGUGGUGCAGGACUCCACAGUGACGGAGGUGCGGAACAUCGAAGUCGGCAUGAUAGUGGUGCGCGGGCGCGACUGGAGGUCGGGGGAUGUGGACGGCUGCAGCUGGGGGGUGGUGACAAAGUGCAACGCCGGGCAGUAUGGCCGCACGCGGGUGCUCUGGAACGCCACGGGGCUGGAGACGGUGCAUGUCACCACACAAAGCGGCUCAGAGCUGCGGGAGGCGCCGGCGUGGGCCAAGAACGGGAGGUAGGGGAAGUGGGGGGCAUGUAAACAUCUGGCGUGGGCUUUUGGUUGUACAGUACGCCGGACCGUCACUUCGGUUUUCCGAGUGUGGUUUACGAAUGUGCGUCCGUGACAGUGCUUGUGGUUCCUAAGUGGCUAAGUUAGCAGUCAAAUCGAAGCCUAAACGCUUAACUCCUGCCAUUGCGCUUGAAUUCAACCUGUUAUGGUGAUGGUGCACGCUGCAAGGCCCAGCCGCACCUGUGACAGACGCCACGCUGCCGACGGGGAGACGCACGCACGUGAUGCAUGCUGCGGACGUGCAACGAGCUGCUUUCGUGCUUUUGGAUUACAAACACAGCUCGUUUAGCGGUGUGCAAGUGACACGCACGCAUUUAGGACAAGGAGGAGGGGCAAGGAAGGAGGAGGCAACGGGCUGGGGCCACUGGCACUGGCCGCCGGGGUGUUUAUAAAAGUCAUUGCCUUCUGCCCGGGUCAUGGCUACAAACCCGUUUAUACCCUUUGUUGCUUUCCCGAUGCUAGGCGGCGAACGAGAAAGGAAGAAAGGAAGAGGCGGAAAUGAGCAGCGGCUGCAUCGAAACUGCUGCGGAUACAGGCCGCGCGCGUAACCAAGCGGUUAGCGAGGGCCACACGUCAGCGCGCCCGCCCAUGCAGCUUACCAGGCUAAGGGCUUAGCUGUUGAAAGACGGCUGGCCCGCGGUGUGGCACUGUGCGUUGUGCACAGUGGAAGCCGGGUGACUGGGUGAGACGCAUGUUAGUUAGGCACUGGUAAGCGGUUAAUGUCGUGUCAUAUGUGCGGCAGUGUGCGGCUCGCCAUCCACAUCUAACUGGAACCCCGGAGUGCACCUGGUGUGCGUGCCGUGUGUUGAGUCAUAAUGAGUUCAUAGCCGUGUGCGGAGCCUUUAUCAUGAGCCUUCCUUUGUUGCUUGUGCGCGGGUGUGCAGAUCUGCAUGAGCAGGCCGCACGGGCCCUUGGUCGGCUCUAAACCCCAACCGGCUCACCGGGCUUGCCGGUUAAGUUGCCGCUAGCGCAAGCUAUGAGUCAGCCCGCACUUACCCACUCAUCUUUCGCACACUGUCAGCGCCAUCCCCCCUACCGCAAAAGCACUAGCCAAGCUCCGCAGUAGUUGUCGUAGGGCUGCCUCUUGGCUGAACAGCAACACACUACAGCUUUCAAUUUGGUUGCCCCCGCUAGCGGCAGCAGUGUUGGCCAACACUAACGCAGUGGGAUUUCUGGGACUCAGUUGCCACGUGGUGACCUAGAUUCGCACAGCCGGACCUGCACUGAAGAUGAAGUCGUGCGCCCGAGAGCAGACUAUUGCCAGGACGGUGAUUGCGCAGUUCAGCUGCCGGUGGCUUUUUUACCCCAUGGUCUUUUUGGACGGGGGGGGGGGGGUAGAAAGCUCAGGUUCUUACCCCAUGCUCAAGGAGAGCAUUAUGCACGUGCUUUUAGUUUGGCAGUACGCCCCUUCUGGUGCACACGCAUGCCACGCCUUCCCAACACCACGUACGUGUUACCUUGCCACGCGGCCACGGCACCGUGCGCCGCCCACCCACCCACCCCGCCCCCCAUGCCCGGCAUGACAAGUAGUGCGGCUGUUGACAACUGUGCCGCGUCUGGCUGCGGUUGGCUCUGCUGUGGCAUCGCGAUCGCUAGACACCUGAGGAUGCGGGCGUGCUGUCACUGCUACUAAGCAUAGGACGCAGCGCUGGUGGGUUGUGUGCGCGUGUGUGCUAGGGGUUCUAGGUGCAACGCACUAGAAUGUGGCAGGCCGUGAUGGGAAGGUGCGGCGUGCCUGUAGUGCGUAAAGGCCGGGCGCGUGCUGGCUGCCACUGCUGCUAACCAUAGGACGCAACACUGGCGGGUUGUGUGCGCGUGUGGGCUAGGGGCGUUCGGUGAAGCGCGUGGGUGUGUGACAGGUCGUGAUGGGAAGGUGCGGCAUGCGUGUGCGCCGAGGCCUGGCGCGUGUUGUCUGUCACUGCUAUUAACCACAGGACGCACCACCGGCGGGUUGUGUGUGCGUGUGUGAUAGGGGCACUACGUGCAGCGUGUGGAUGUGUGACAGGCCGUGAUGGGAAGCGCCAGCGGGUUGAUGCUGAAAAUAUGAGCCUGCCAGGUGAGCCGCAUGUCUCAUAUGGGAGCAUAGGAGUAGGGCGCGCGCUGGCUCUGGCGGCUACGGCGGUAGGUGGCGCAGGGCCUAGCAGCUGCGGCGGCGGUGCAGGGCCCGGCGGCGGCGCAGGACCUGGCGGCGGCGCAGGGCCUGGGCCCAGCAGUGGUGGCGUGCAUGUGGGGGCAGGCAAGGCCACGUGGAGGAGGACAGCGCGGCCCCGCCCGAGAAGCGGCGCCGGCGCGCAGGUUGAGGCCGGCCGGUGUCUAGUUACGGUCUUUGCUGGCGAGCAUAGCACCGCGCAGCAUGUGUUAGGCCGCAGCAGUGAGGAGUGUUGUGGCCAGAGGAUUUCCUGCUGUUUGGUUGGUUGCUGGGCUGGGCUGUUGCUUGACGGCGGGACGUGGCUGGACACGUUACGGCGGGCCGUGCCUGUACGAACCGACCCCGGCUAUGUCCGGGAGAUGAUGAGGUAGACGCUUGCGGCCUCAGACUACCGUAGAUACGUGGCUCAGCCCAACUUUCCCAUGCGAGGGAAGGUAUCUUGUCCCCUUCUUGUAAAAUGCACACUUAAGUGACAUGAGUCACAUGACCAUCCCCGCCGCGACCCACAGCUAAUACGAUUACAACUAUGGUACAGCAUGUGGUCUUGUAAGCACCCCCUGGAUCAGGUACGGUAGUGCUGCACGCCCCUUAAACAGCGCCAAGAGCAGCCGCAUCCGCAUGAACCUGUCGAGGGCUCGCUGCCGUCAGCACAUCUGGCUGCACCGUCCGCUCCGGUGCAGCCGCGGGCGCAGACUCGAUAGCCGUGCCAGCCGCCUCCGCCAACUCGCCUGUCGCCGCAACGGUCGCCGCAGCCGGCACCUCCGUGUGCACAGCUGCGGCAGCGGGCGCAGCCGUCGCAGCGCCCGCCUCCGCCAGCAGCACGACCCCAACCUUGACCCCUCCAGCCGCUGGAGCCGUGGCCGUCACCACGGGUGCCGGCACGAUGCCGCCACUGACCGCGAUGCGAACGGCCUUGGACAGUGCUGUGCGGCUGACGUCCUGAGAAUGGCUAGCGUUGUGGAUGUUGCACACCAACUCCAGCUGCAGCUCCAGCUUGGUCAGGCCGCGGCGGGCCAGCUGCUCCUCGGGCGCCUUCAGCAGCCGCUGGUACUCGUGGAUCAGGCCCUUGGGGACGAAUGAAGGGGACGAUGAAGCGAGGCGAGGCGAAGGUUAGGCAGCGGCGACUCGUAUUAGUUACAGUGUGAGCAUGGCUGAACUAAUAAGCCUGGGGCCGGGCUACAUGGCUGUGCAAACGUGGCCACAAGUCAUGCGCACAGAGCACGCACACGGCGUUCCCUGCCUGAACCCUGUGCUCUGUUGACCGCACCCUACCUGCUGCCUUUCUCACGUCCCCAUUAGGGCCCAAAGCACGCCAGGAACAUACUGACAACCAGCUCACCAGAAUGCGUUGCGCAGUCAGCGGCCAGACGUGCGCCUGAGCGCGAGCAAGGCCGUUAGACACGAGCAGUCGUGCGAUUGCCUGCACGGUGUGCUCCCUGGGCGCUGCGGCGGGGCAGGGCGUGCGACGCAGCACCUCAACCAGCGUGGGGCUGAUCUUGGCGGCCGUGGCCAUCAUGACGAUCCAGCCGCUGGCCUUGAGCGCCGUCCGCAGCCGCGUCAUCACGGGGUCCAGCCAGCCGCCCUCCGCCAUGAGGCCGUCGAGCUCGGCAGCAGACAGCUGCUGCACACGCCGCCGGAACCACGAGGUGCCCCGGGUGGCUUCGGUGGGGGCCGCGGCGGCGGUGGCGGUCUCAGGGGUGCUGGAGUCGGCGGUGACAGGUUCAGAAGCGGGGGUGGCGGCGGCAGACGGUCCCGGCUGCAGCUGUAUCAGGGCGCCCUUGAGGCCCAAGGUCAUGGCGCUGUCGCCGCCCAGCACCUCCAGCAGAAGCUGCCGCUUCUCAGCCACCGCGCAGCCCUCCCGCAGCGCGGCGUGGGCGGUGGCGGCAAGCAUGGCCGAGCCGCGCCGGGCCAGGGCGGCCAGGCUGAGCGCGCGGGCGGGGCCGGCAUGGGCGUAGGCGAGCUUGAGCGCGGCAAGCAGCUGGUCGUCAGUGAGGCCGGCGCACACGGUGCGGGCGGCCGCCACCACGGCCUCAGCAGUAGUGGUCCUGGCAUCCUGCGGUGCGCGGGGAACCAAGAGGGGUAAUGGGGUCAGGGAAGGACCGCCUUCGGCGAGCAUGUCGCACGGCCACAUGCACUGUAAGUUGGGGCUGUCCGCAGCGGUCUUGGCAUGGAAUACGGUACAAGUGAAGCGCGCGCGUGUAGACUCAUGCUUUCGACACGCUACUGGUAGCUUUCAACUCACCGACUCGUUGACACCAGGCUGAGUGUUGGAUGUACUCAGCAUUAGGACACUCUUCGCUGCCUACAUGGGGUGCGAAGGGUUUGGCGCGUGGAGUUCGGCGGGGGUAAACGUUGCCCCGACAGUUGCCGACGAGUAAGCCGCCGGUUCCUUCGCACUCGGGGAUGGGUUGAAACAGCUGCCCCCCAGUCUACCCUCAAAUACGCAAGCUUCCAUGCAUCCUACCCUGCCAAUGGCGCGCUUUGCGGCGAGGUCUGCGACCUUGCCGCUGACAACAGUUGGCGCGGCCGGCGUCAGCUGUGAGGCAGCGACGACUGCCGGGCGCCUGCGGGCCGACGUGGGGCGCUGGAAGGUAGCGCCAUGAGUUCCCAUGAAGCGGGUACUGAGUGUGGCUCCGCAAUCCGCACGAGCGCUAGUCAUUCGCGGGGCGGUUGUGGAAGGCCUGAGUGGGGUACACAUUUCCAAAGUCGCAAACUGGUUGACACGACAUUGCAGGUCAUGUCCACGCGAAUCUUGAUACUUCGAGGUUGGACCGCUGUUAUAGGUACAUUUAUUGGAGUGUACAUCUCGAUGCGAUAGCGGCAGGCAUGUUUGUGCGAAAGGACAUAUUACGUGCGAGCGCCAUCCCAAGCGUCGACAUCCGCACGCGGACCUCGUCCAGCAGUGUCCGGAAUCCGCACUUACCGCAGUGCAAUCAUAGCUAAUGACGCUGAAAUGCAGGAAUCGACGGGCUCCCCGAGCCCUACCUGCUUGUAUUCCACCCCUGAGCUGGCGAUGUGACUGUGAGGGCCAAUUGACACGGUGCAGUUCAAGGCAGCAGGGUGAGUUGUGGCAAGGCAGCGACUCGAGGCGACUUCAGCACGGAAAUUCAGUUCAUAUGACAGUCUGGCAAGCUAGCACUUCAAAGUAUGGAGGUACAUGGGCGCACUGCAAUGUGACCGGCUCGCAGUGCCGUACAGCACAGCGCAACGGGGUCGCAACGGGGUCGUGACGUCGUGUCGCUGCAGCAGUCGCAUUAGUCUCCGCGGUUCCAGGGCCCCAAACGCCCGUCACAAACGCCGAGAUUUGCAAGUCUCCAUUAUCCACCGACCAGUGCUUAACUAAAGCCCUAGAGCUGCACAGCACUUGAGCCAGCUUGGGCACAUUGUGGAGGUUCUAUGUGGUUUGCUUGGCGGCUGGAGCUUGGCGCCCCCCUCGGCCCCAUCCCAUGAUGUAUGUGUGAAUAUUUGUGUGUAAUGGCCGCUGUGCCAUCCAGUUUGCUGUUGGGUCCUUUACAGUGCCCUCCACGGGUGCGACAUGCCCCCACGGUACUAGGGCCAUCCGUGGCUCCCCACACGCCGAAGCAAUGUGUUGAGUGAGCGCCUAGGACAGACGAACCAUUCUCGAUGGGACCCGUACCCCAUUCCAAGUUUGGUCGACGGCACCCGUGUCCCUGUUGUCCCCUGUGAAACAGGAACCGCGACCUGAACGCUGCGGCAAACAGUUGCAAAACAGCUGGGGGAAUGCUGUGCUCUGGCCUUGCCCGCUACUGUCUUUGUGUGGGCCAGCAUUUGUCAGGGCCAACCAAAUGCCCCAACCCAAUAUAUAGGAUUCAGUCCGCGAAGCCUUACACCGCUCGACUUCAUGUCCAGAACGUCGUCAUGCCUCCGCAGCUACCCUGGGUAGCUCACUCGGUCUCGCCUCACUCCCUAUGUGAUUGUGCACGCAAAGCAUGCCCGCCUGCGCACUGCGACAGGUGCUUGCGGCCUCUUACUCUAAUCUGCACCCUCAUCAAGCCCACAUAUGGCUGGAGCCUACUAAGCAAUGUCUGUGUACGCUUGCUUUGCAUGUCCAUUCCUUCACUCCACUCCACACUCAUGUCAGGUAUAGCAGGUCAUAGAUGUCAUACGCCACAGCUCCCUGCGCCAGCCGCACCUCGCCGUCGCACGCACAUAGCGUGCUGCAAGCGCUGGCAGCUGGGAGAUGUCGACUAGCCGCAACCAAACACUUGCAGCCAAAUUUAUACGGCAAAGGCGCGACAAGCCUCCCAGCAGAUCACGCGAGGAGCGCAACGUCCGUUAACAGAGCACGCACACACAGCCAAACCCACCAAAAGAACAUCAAUACACAUCCAGCGCCCCAAUCGCAACCGGCGCCAACCACGCUCAACAGCAGACGUGGCUACGGCCGCAGUGAUUGGUAGUGAUAUGCCGCGGCAACGUCCAAAAUAGCGCAUUACUACAAGCACCCACGCUCAAUGCACCCCUCGGCCGCCAUCACCAUCCAUCCUGCCCGGUCAGCUAGCCAGCAGCCUCAAUGCAGGCCGUUACUUCUUGUCAGUGAACUCGGCGUCAAUGACGUCGUCGUCCUUCUUGCCGCCGGGGGCGCCACCCGCGCCCGCACCGGCGCCGGGCUCAGCGCCCGGGGCGCCGCCUGGCGCAGCGCCAGCCUGGCUGUACAUGGCCUGGCCCAUGGCCAUCACCUCCUGCUGCAGCGCGUUCAUGGCGGCCUUGGUGGCCUCAGCAUCGUCGGCCGGCAGCGCCGCCUUGAGCUCGCCCAGCUUGGCCUCGACCUUGGCCUUGAUGUCGGCCGGCACCUUGCCCUCAAACUCCUUGAGCUGCUUCUCGGUCUGGUACACCAUGGUCUCCGCCUGGUUCUUGGUCUCCACGCUCUCGCGGCGCUUCUUGUCCUCGCCGGCGAACUUCUCCGCCUCCUUGACCAUGCGCUCCACGUCGCCCUUGUCCAGGGUGGAGGCGCCGGUGAUGCGGAUGUCCUGCUUCUUGCUAGUGCCCUUGUCGGUGGCGGUCACGGACAGGAUGCCGUUCGCGUCAAUGUCGAACUUGACCUCAAUCUGGGGCACACCGCGGGGCGCGGGCGGGAUGCCGUCCAGGCGGAAGGUGCCCAGCGACUUGUUGUCGCGGGCAAACUCGCGCUCGCCCUGCAGCACGUUGAUCUCCACCGAAGUCUGACCGUCGGCGGCGGUGGAGAAGACCUCAGACUUGGAGGUGGGCAGGGUGGUGUUGCGGGGGAUGAGCUUGGUCAUGACGCCGCCCAGGGUCUCCAGGCCCAGCGACAGCGGGGUCACGUCCAGCAGGACGAUGUCCGACACCUCGCCGGCCAGGACACCGGCCUGCACCGCCGCGCCCAGAGCCACCACCUCGUCGGGGUUGACCGUCACGUUGGGGUCCUUGCCGCCCGACAGCUUGCGCACAAUCUCCUGCACCGCGGGGAUGCGGGUGGAGCCGCCCACCAGGAUGACCUCCUGAAUGUCGCUGAUGGACAGCUUGGCAUCGCGCAGGGCCUGCUGCACCGGCACCUUGCAGCGCUCCAGCAGGUCGUUGCACAUCUCCUCGAACUUGGCGCGGGUCAGCUGGGUGUCGAUGUGCUUGGGACCAUCGGCGGUGGCAGUAAUGAAGGGCAGGUUGAUGGAGGUCUGGGCCAUUCCCGACAGCUCAAUCUUGGCCUUCUCGGCCGCCUCGGUCAGGCGCUGUGUGGGUGGGAAAGGGGCAGAGUAGUCGGGUCAGCAAGCCGCACGACAGCGCUGAACGGGACUGGUUCAGCCAACCCUUGAAUAGCAUCAGACUGCGCAAACGCCAUGUGCUCCGAUCCAUCCCCUUCCCUCCCGACACUAGUAUCCGGCCCUCUCCACGCCUCGACAGCCAACACACGACCCACUCUUCACGCCUUCAAGCCCCAGCCUACCCCUCCUCAAGAACCCUGGCUCAAUCGCCUCCGCCGCUCACCUGUAGUGCCUGGCGGUCCUUGCGCAGGUCAAUGCCCUCGCUCUUCUUGAAGUCAUCAGCCAGGAAGUCCACGAUGCGCUUGUCGAAGUCGUCACCGCCCAGGUGGGUGUCGCCGCUGGUGGACAGCACCUCGAACACGCCGUCGCCCACCUCCAGCACCGACACAUCGAAGGUGCCGCCGCCCAGGUCGAACACCAGGAUGGUCUCGUUGGCCUUCUUGUCAAAGCCGUACGCCAGCGAGGCGGCGGUGGGCUCGUUGAUGAUGCGCAGCACCUCCAGACCGGCAAUCUUGCCCGCGUCCUUGGUGGCCUGGCGCUGGGAGUCAUUGAAGUAGGCGGGCACGGUGAUGACCGCCUUCUCCACCUGCGGCCAACCCGGGUUACGCAGUAGCGAGGGGCAGCAACAUGGCGACAUGAGGUGAACAAAGCCUGUGACAACCACUCUUGUUGGUCGUUGUGCACGGUCUCUCGAGCGGACUCGCGAGCCACACAAGCGCCCGCGGGAUUGCACAACGCUCGUCCCUCGGGCUGAGAACCAUAUGCCGCGCACUUCGUUCCUCAUCCCUUCCAGCCGUGGUAUCCACCAAUUCUGGCUCUCCACUCCAUGCCGCCCAGUUCUGUCGCGGCCUCCCAAGUGGCUACGCCGCCCCAAUCCGCCCCAGGCCAGCUGCAUUGCACCGCCCCGCCCCAUCCCAGGCCACCUGCGUCGCACGCACCUUGUCGUUCAGGAACUUGGCGGCGUCCUCCGUCAGCUUGCGCAGCACCUGCGCGCUGAUCUCCUCGGGAGCGAAGUCCUUACCGGCGUUGGGGCACUUGAUCUUCACGUUGCCGCCGUCCUCAAUCACCUGAUGAGGGUCAAGUGAGGGAGAAUUCGAGUGAGGAAAGACGGCGUCUUCCGCAGCAGCACAGCCGGGCUGUGGCAGCCAUCUACGUCCACAACCCGUAACCCCCGGACCGUCAUGCUAUGCGCAGGGACAUCAAUCAGAUCCUCAACUGAGCAGGAGUGUGAAGCGCGUCCCUGCUCGCACGAGAGCCCCCGCGGCACUGAACCGCAUGGGUAUGCCCAGACCCUUGCACAUGCAUCAGCUCGAGACCUGCGCCCGUUGAACCCACCCAUCCCCUCCAAUAUCACCGGGCUCCUCGGCCGCUGGCUGCCGCGCCUUCUUACCCGGUAAGGCACUUGGGUGGACUCCGAGCCGACCUCCGACAUGCGGCGGCCGAUGAAGCGCUUUACGGAGAAGAAAGUGUUCUCGGGGUUCACCACAGCCUGGCGCUUGGCAAUCUGAGGGGUUAGGCAAUGGCGACAAGCACGAGGAGGACAGGGGCUAGGUUAGCCAGGCCAGGAGGUGCGGUAGCUACCAAGAAUGUGACGUGGCCAUCCAGUAGGUGUGACAAUGUGCACUCAGGCAUCAACCCGCAUGUUUCGGCGUAAGCGACGUGCGGCAGCAACCUUCGCCACACGACGCCGUGUGCGGUGGCUGGGGUGUGCGCGUGUCGCGUCCCGCCCCAGUCUGCAAGCGACCUCGAGAUGUCUUUGCGAAAGCCCUUUGCGAGGAGACAUAUGAAACUCUUUACUUUCAUGAUUGGAAUUCUGGAUACACAAUUGGCCGUGCUGACCGGUGAAAACGAUGAUCUAGUUAGGUCGGCGCAUUCCUCGGUUUAGCAAAGGACCAAUUGGCACCCAUGAACGUACCUGGCCAACCAGACGGUCGCCGGUCUUGGUGAAUGCCACCACCGAGGGGGUGGUGCGGCCGCCCUCAGCGUUGGUGAUGAUGGUCGGCUUGCCACCCUCCAUGGCAGCCACAGCCGAGUUGGUCGUGCCCAGAUCGAUACCCACGACCUGAAGGAACAAUUCAAAUGUGAGCAUGGCGUCAGCAUGUUCAGGGUGGGCGCUAUGACGCAAGACGGGCGUCGGUGGGUUGAGACCGCUUUCGCACCUUCUCAGCACGGACGCUGACGGCCAGGCCACGGCGCGAAACGCCAGCGCGGCCCGCCUUGACGGGUGCCACUGGAGCGCCAGCCAGGGACUGGCUGCGCAUAGAAGUCAUCUGCUGAACCGGCAUUGUUGGGUCGUGUGCUAGCUGCGCUCGUUUAUCGCUAAAGUGCAGCAGGUAUUGUUGAGGAGUAUUGUUCACUUGCGCACGUUGAAAAGUGCUGCAGCCGCGAGAGCGUGCCGGCCAUACGCGGAAGAAUGCUCUUCUAGUGGCUGCAGGCAGCCUGCAUGGGGGUUCUAGGUUGUUCCAUGCUGAGGCCGUCGUCUGGAACGCGCUGGCUUCUAAGAUAACGCACAUUUCACUGGUCAACAGCUUCACGUUAUCGCCUGACCAAUGCCCUCCCUUGGAAGCGUGUGCAGCGCAGGAUUUCCUCGCGCAACACCCAUCAGACUUUGGAGAUAAGCCUCCUCCACAACAUUCUGACAAAACGCCAUGCCUAUUUCUGGAUUAUGCAAUAUUAGCUCUUUGCAAAUAGUGGGCAGCCUCGCGCGCCACGUGUACAACGCCACCACAGCUCGACCCGAGUCCGCAGCGGGGGUAGUUUAUUCUAAUCCCACGGGGGAGGGCUUUCACGCCUGCCACACUGGCUGUGCGGCCUACCAGCAAGUCCAUCACCGGCAUGCCAAACCACCUUAGGCUUGGGCCAGGAUGCCAGGACCAGGGGGCGCCGGAGCUGUGUACCAGGGCGAUGGGGCAUCGGUGGCAGGGCCUGCGGUACACCCUCAUUCCAUUGCCGUCACGUCGGCGGUGGGGGUUGGGUUGAGGGUGGGGGUGGGGGUGGGAGGAUGGGGGGGGGGGGUUACGGGUGCGGGUGGGAGGAUGGGGGUGGGGGUGGGGGUGGGCGGUGGCGUGCAUUUACUACUUGGACUAGGAGCACCAGUAAAGCGUUCAACGGCUGAAGAAAGGCUUGACCAGAAUAUAUCGCUGCAUGAUCGCUUCAGCUGCCUCCUGUCCGCGCCUCGGGCACCCCGCCAGCAGGAGCCGGCUUGCUGAGGCUGCCUUCAUCGGCCUCCGCCCCGCGUAUACCUUACAGCCGAACGCGCUCACUGUAGCCCUCAGCCCCUGCCUACACCACUGCUGCAGCACUUGUCCGCAUGUUGCGGCCGGAUUCAAGGGCCACACGAACCUUCCAAGGGCGACCAUUGGUCAGGCGAUAAGUUGAAGCUGCUUGCAGGCUCCUUCAGCCACUAGGAAAGCAUUCUUCCGCGUUCUCAAGCCGGCACGCUUCGCUGCUGCAGCACUUGUCACCAUAAUGGUAGGGCGGCGCACCCAUCGGGGCGACUUGACUGCGUACGGCCGAUGGGGCAUGGCGAGACCUGCAGGCAUGCACGCAUGGGGCCAUGUGAGGUGCAUCCGUGCCGGUGCCGGUGCGGUGGGGUGCACGCCAAGUGAGGCAAGGUAUUAUCCGUCUCACCCCAAGCAUCAUCGCCGCCAACAUUGUUUGCUGCUGUCACCAGCUAUCGCGACGUAUGACCCCGCCGUGUCACCCUGUCAACUGCGGCGUGUGGGGACUCGCCUACCGUCAACUUGAGGGUUGGACACACGCCUCACGGCCGCUAUGCCAACGGGAUGCUGCCGACAACGCUGCAGCUAGGGGGGCUGACACGCUAGACGUGUGCCCCCACUUGGGAGCCCAGCGCAACUCGCUAUUGCCACAGCAUGGUGACGCCUUGUUCCUGGAGCCUCCCGCUGUCUGUUCUGCAAAGCUGCAGCGGCCUAAGUCGGCUGAGGCAUCACAAGGCGGGGGGGGGGCAUGCUUGGGGCCAUGGAGGGGACGGGGGAUGCGGGAACAGGGUGUGGUCACUUGUGUGCAUGAGCCAGCCGGCUUCCUCAGUCGUGUCUCAGGCAGUGGCCUCGCCUGUGGGCGUCUCACGGGACUGCUGGUGGCGGGAGGGCGGCGGUGUUGAACAUUAACGGCAGCGUAAGCGUGAGGGAAAAGCGCUGACCCGCAGGGGUUCAUUACACCCCGUCGUUAGGCUCAGGUAAAACCUCCAGGUGAUCGCACAGGUUCACACCCGUUAACAGAUGGGUGGCUACCGCGGAGUUCUUAUGACGCAGCGCAAUUGCUGGGGGCGAGGAAGAACGAGAUUGGUGGGGGCAGUGGCGGACUUGCGACGAAGUGCAGCCAGCCUGGUGCAUACCAUGGCGGCGGCAUCCGCGGGCAAUCAUUGGCCAGAAUCGCUUGGGAGCUUUGCAGCAGUUAUGGCCAGCAUACGUGUUGCACCCUUUGGGGCCCUUCCCAGUUAACUCUGGAUAUAGCCUCACCACCUCCCUGUGCGUGUCUGUGGGGCCGCCAGAGCAGCCCGCCAACUGUUGUUCAUGGAAUCGCCCAAAGCGCGUUGGAAUGUCCGGGGAUAUCUCAAUACUUGUCCGCGUUUGUGAGCGCUAUGAGUGAGGGUAGAGGAGGGCGACACAAGCAGUGGGGCGAUUCGUCACUGACAUGACACCCCUUGUCCGCGUCCUCAACCAUUGCCAGCGGUGCCGCCAGCGCUCUCCUCCUCGCUCCCUCUCCCUCUAUGGAGGCAGCCUCGGCCUUAGCUGCGGAGCUGUCUGCCUUUCUGGUCCGAGACCGGUCUGUACACGCAACCAGACGCGACGCAGGCACCGCCCGCCAUGUGUCCAGCCGCGGGGGAGCACAGGAGCAGAAGCACCCCCAUUAUUCGGGGACCAAACUAGCUGCAUAUAUAAGUGUUGCAGGCGUUAUAAGGGCCCCCCGGCCCGGGCCUCGGUUUCUACAAGGACAGGAAUGCACGUCGUGCUCACCACCUUGUAAACACACACAACAGCCGCGUCCCGCUAUCAAGCACAAGCACCGCCAGCAACCAACCAAACAGCAGGAAAUCCUCUAGCCACAACACUCCUCACUGCUGCGGCCUACGACCUACCACAUACUACGCGGUGCUAUGCUCGCCAGCAAAGACCCUAACCGUCGCAGACACCGGCCGGCCUCAACCUGCGCGCCGGCGCUGCUUGUGGGCGACGCCGCGCUGUCCUCCUCCACGUGGCCUUGCUCGCCCCCUCCGCUACGCACAUGCACGCCGCAACUGCUGGGCCCCUGUGCCGCUGCGGCUGCCGCUGCGGCUGCCGCUGCCGCUGCCGCUGCCGCUGCCGCUGCCGCUGCCGCUGCUGCUGGGGCCCGGCCCUCCACCACCAUCAUCGCCGCCGCCGCCACCGCCACGUGUCGGGCCCUUCUCGCCAGCGGUGGCAGCCUACCCCUGGAAGAUGCAAGCCCUGUUCUAAGCACUAUGCAGCGUACAUGUUGUAGCGGCGCCGCACAUCCACCGCAGCCUCCCAAUUCUCGAGGACGACAGUACGAAAGUGUACCGCACUUUAGAGGCGCAACAGGCUUGGAGGGUCGAUGGCCUCACACAGCGGGCACGCAGCGUCCCCGACCGGCCUGCGACCGCCCUGCGGCCGGCCUGGCGGCCGGCAAGGGCCUAGCACGCCCCCGGCGUGCUUCACUACCCCGUUCAAAAGCCUACCCCCCCUCCUUUUCUUUGUAAGCGCCGGUGCAACAGUACGGGCUGUGGCACCUACUCCGUUUCUACCGGCAGUGGGGCCAGCGGCGGUGGCGCCUGACUGUCCAUGUGCGGACGCAGAAGGUGGGGGUUGAGGGGAGGGGGCCAGCAGAUGCAUCCACACCAACUGCACUGCGCUGACGCUACACCAAUGCCACGGGUACAGGUGCUGGAGCACACGGCGCAGCAGCUGGCUGGUGGAAGGCCCAAGGAGGAGGUCAUUGUUGGCUGGGGCAACGCCAACACUGGCUAUGGCGGUUGCAUCAGCAGGUUGGGGCGGGGCCCAAACCGGGCACUGCUCCGCCUGCUGGUGGACAAGUACGCGCACCUGGUGGUGUACGUGGACGAGUUCUACACAUCGCAGGCAAGAUGAGAGCAGACGGGUUGGAAUGAGUAGACAGGUGGUCGGGUGGACAGGAUGGGGCUCGUGUACAGGUAGCCGGGUAGCCAGCAAGGUUCACACUGUACUCCUGCCCCCUCCCUCCCCAGGUGUGUGCGAAGUGCGGGCGGCGCUUACUCGGCAACGGGCAGCGCUGCCUGCAGGCGGUCGUACCAUGGGGGGGCUUACGUGCUCACCAAGUCCAAGUGUGCAACCACUGCGGGACGGUGUGGGUGAGUCCACUUUGUGGGCGGGCGGCUGGCUGGGCGAUGGAUGGGUGGCUGGGUGGCGGCUCAGUGGGGCUCAGUGGGUGAUGGCUGGCUGGGUGACGGCUCAGUGGGGCUCAGUGGGGCGCAGUCGUGGGCUCAGUGGGGCUCAGUGGGUGAUGGCUGGGUGACGGCUGGGUGACGGCUCAGUCGUGGGCUCAGUGGGACUCACUCACUCUACCCUCCCGACGGUGCAGGGACGUGACGUCAACUCCGCAACCAACAUCCGGCACGCGCUGGUGGAAAUGCUGCUGGGGCACAAGCGACCUGCAUCGCUGCAGACUGGCGGCGGCGGCGGCGGCGGCGGCGGCGGCGGCGGCGGCAGCGGCGGCGGCGGCGGCAGCGGCGGCGGCGGCGGCGGCAGCGGCGGCGGCGGCGGCGGCAGCGGCAGCGGCGGCGGCGGCGGCAGCGGCAGCGGCAGCGGCGGCGGCGGCGGCAGCGGCAGCGGCGGCGGCGCGUGCGCGCAUCUUGGUAGCGGAGGGGGCGGGAAAGGCCACGUGGAGGAGGAGAGCGCAGCGCCGCCCAAGAAGCGGCGCAAGCGCGCAGGCUGAGGAGCCGGCUGGUGUCUAGGUAGCGGUCCGCGGUGGGGCUGGCAGGGAAUGCGUAGCGGCGUGACAAGUAGUGCGGCUGUUGACAACUGUGCUACGUCUGGCUGUGGUUGGCUCUGCUGUGGCAUCGCGAUUGCUAGGCACCUGGUUUGGCUAUGUGCCUGUGGAAACCGACCCCGGCUAUGUCCGGGCGAUGAGGUUGUUCGGCCUCAGAGAGUGGAGGGGCUCAGCCCCUUUUCCCGUGACCGGGGAACACUUGUCUUUGUAACCACUAAAACUCUGCUUGGCUCUAUCAAGCUGUAUAUGACGCAGGCAGUGGCAGUUGCAAGAACGGCAACAGCAGCGCGGCUAAGCGGCAACAAGUGUAGCGGAGGAGGCCCUGGGGGCAGGGGGCAGGGGCUGGUACAAACCGGGUGACGGCAAUGGCAGCGGCUUGUUAUAGGCGGCGUUGGGGCCGGCAGCUAGCGUGGGUGGUGAUUGGUUUGGCGGCAGGUGCAAAUAGCAACGGCUGCUGCAGUGAUGGUCGGUGACGGUGGUGGCUAUGGUGUCUGAGGCGGCAGUUGCAUAAGAUGCGGCAGCAGAGAGAGACGGGUGCUGCGCUGGUGGUGGCUGCGGUGGACGUUGCAUCGGUGAGGGGCAGCGGAAACGGCGUAGGGGGGGGCAUGGUGGCGGACGGUCCCGACAGCUUUUGGGGAUGGCGGCGUAGGCAUGGCAACCCACUACACACCUCCACCGUACCCAGCCGUGUUUGGUUGCGUGCACAGACCGGUCUCUGUCGCCCAGAACGGCAGACAGCUCCGCAGCUCAGGCCGAGGCUGCCUCCAUGUGAUAAACAACCGUGGCUUCGGUGGCAGUUCACUGCAGGCCCGUGUGGUCGUGGGGGGGGGCAACGCCACACGCGACCAGUGUUUGUUUUCGCGCGGCGCGGGGCCGCAGGCCGCGCUCUACCAAGCAGCAUCUCGCCAUGGCAGGAAAAAGAAAAGGAAGGCGGAACACGCAAACCCCGCACCAAGCCCAAACGACCGCGAGCACGGUAACCACCGCAGGCGCACGACCAAGCGCAGGCGCACACGCAACAACACACAGCAAGCUGGGUCAUGGGCCGCACGCAAGCCGGGGCACACAGGCAGCAGCUAACCGACCGCCACGCACGCGGACCGGACCAAGCGGCUGCGCUCAAGGACUCCACAACAAAGCAGACCAGCUGCCGCACGGGAACCACUGCCGGCGCCCGACCAAACGCAGGCACACACGCAUCAACACGCUGCCAAACCGAGCCCACCCCAGCCGCUACCACCGCCAAGCAGGCCUCCUGCAGCCAGAUAGCUGCUCGCGUGCGGCCGUACCGCCCGGCGUUGCACUUUGUCACCACGCCCCAGCUGCAGCCGUCCACCUGGAUCGCUUCGCCCCCCCCUGGAUCGUCUUCGCUCGGGGGGCUCAGCUCGACAAGAAAAGGUGGCUCUCCCUUGCAAGGGAAAAGUGGGCUGAGCCCACGCCACGUCCUCCGUCUGAGGCCGAAGGUUCCGAUACUAGCCUCAUCUCCCGGACAUAGCCGGGUACAGGCACCGCCCGCCAUAUGUGCCCAGUCGCGCCCAGCUAUCAAGCGCUAGUGCAGCAGGCAGCAGGCCAACCAGACAGCAAGGAAAACACCCCUGCCGCUGCAGCCGACUGCCCGCUACGCCAUGCUUCAGCUCAGCCCAAAAAUGUGCAUGCAGCUCAGCUCGAAAAGAAUUCGAAGGCGACGGCCGCCUCCCAGCCGGCGGCAGCAGGAAACCAGCCCGCAGGCCAGAGCCCGCGGCUCCGUCAGCGCGGGUGUCCGCGCGCUUGGCGGCAGGGGCCCAAUCGAGGCCGUCGGCCUCCUGAGGGCCACGCCGCCCCAAAGCCGACCGUGGAUCCAACAGCAUGGCGGCCGGCCCACCGGCACCGCCAGGAGGCAUUGGAAGUGGUGGCGCCUCCGGGAGCGGCGGUGGCGGCGGAAGCGGCGGUGGCAGUGGGAGCGGCGGCGGCGGUGGGAGCGCCAGCAGUGGCUCGGGCAGCGCCGGCGCCACUGCCACCUUCCGCCGACCUUCCUGAGCCUUGCCGGACCGCGCUGGCGGGGGAGGCGAAGACGGACGCCCUCCUGCGGCAGCGGCGCCGGUACGGACGCGGCAGCGAGGCGGUGGCUGCGCCGCGAUGACGGGUCGGGCGACGACAGCCGCGGGGACGGGACGGGACGGGACGACAGCCGCGGGAUGCCGGACCGCGCCACCGCAUGUGCUCGGACCGCCAUCGCCUGCGGACUGAGGCCGCCCCGCGCCAUGCGAGCAGGGGCCGGAGCGCAGCGGGGUACAGGCAGCUGCGGACACCAGUGCAGUGCAGUGCAGUGCAGUGCCGGCACAGCCAGCUGUCCGACUGCACCUUCUCCAGGCCACCCAAGCACCGCAGAUGCCAGCUGCCGUCACAGCCGUCGCAAAGCAGCAUCUGAGGCUCAUUGUCGGCUUUGCGGCAUACUUCACAGUACUGCUUGCCCGGCGUCCAGCACACCGAGUCGCCAAAUGGCAAGGCAGGCAGCGGGUACUGGCCAGCCCCCACUCAAGCCGGCCGUCGGGCGCCACCAGGGCCACGCCCCCACGCGGCCCGGCAGACCGCACACGGCGCACCUCAAACGGCUGCACGAACCCAGCCGACUGCCAAGGCCGACACUUGAAGACGUAGCUACCCCGCACCAAAGGCGCCACUGGGCCGCCGGGCGCGGGGCCGCGGGCCCGCCUCCACCAGCCCAGGCGGAACGCGCAAGGGCAGCGGUGGCAGUGGCCGGACAGGGGCGGCUGCUGCGGCUGCUGCGGCUGCUGCGGCUGCUGCGACUGCUGCGGCUGCUUCAGCGACGGGGAGGGCCCUUACGGCGCUGGCAACGGGAAUGGCGAGGGCGGAGGUCCACGAGCAGGGACGACAGGCAGCGGCGCGGCAGGCAGGAGUAACUUGACACCAAUUUGCACAACGUCCCUGGCGGGCAUGUAACAUCGCAACCAGGGCACCCAUGAUCGCAACUGAGCGCGGCUGGCACAGGGGCACGCACCAUUGGGCUGGCACGAUGCACACAGCGAUUGGUGGCCAGCUCCACACCCCUAAAGGCUAAAGCGCCACUGUGAGCAGGGUUGCGCACCAGGGCGCACCGAAGUUGGUGACACAGAGGAUAGAUAGCAUUGGGUGUCACCUUAGCACUACCUUUAUUUACCCCACCAGAAGCCUCUUCAUCCGCAUUGGGCGCCGUGUAGCACGGGUGGUACACGCCUUGUGACAACUAAGUUACCAUUUCCGCCGCGACGUAGCCGUUAUUGACGUGCGUUGCGGAACUAUUACGUACGCGUGUAACCCGUGUUUCAGUGCGGGCGGAGGACUGCAGCCAUGUUGGCGUGCUCCGGCCCCAGGUACAGUACCGCCAGUACAUCAAACACUCAAACAGUUCGCGGGAACAAGCGGCACGUCUGCACUUGAGUACGCCGUCUGAUGUCGUAGUCAGUAAGGGUCAUCCCAUCCCACGCAGCAGUCGAGUGUAGUUGCCCAAGCUUCACGGCGGCCCUGCACCCUGCAGCUAGCAAGGAUGCGAAGAGAAGUGGCCGUAGCCGCAGGACAGAGGUAGGUCGAACUCUUGACGUCUGAAGUGAUGAAAUGGAGAUGCUGGACUCAUGGCGAGUGGUCACGGCCUGCAUUGUAACGUGCGGCCCUGCAACCCCCACCGUACAGCCUGCGGUUUCGCACGCGACGUCCUCUCUGUCAACUUUCUUCCCACGCGGUGCAAUCAGCCAACGCUCCUCAGCUUGGCAGCCAUCCGCCACAAAGUAACGCCUCUCUUAUCUCGGGGCACGCCCCUUGACCGCUAGUGCACUUCCGCAUACGCCCCCGCAGAGUCCACCUGGGCCCGGCAAUGGGUUCAGCGCGGCCCUCCCUAUUGGAACCAUAACCACGUGCAGCACUUUUGUAUUGAAUACGCCAAGCCGUCAAGCGGCUCGGCGCGUGCGUGCGGGUCAGCGCGCAGACGAUGUGCACACACACAGGCGCGACAAGAGCAGGGGUACACCCGCUCCGCGCAAACUGGCAGGCGGCAUGGUGUGGGCAAGCUCUAAUUUCACACAGCCUCGGCGCUGUAAGCGCUCCCAAAAUAAAAUGCUGUCACCCGACUUGUACGGCUCAUUGCGCAUUCGGGCGGGUAGCUCAAAAUCCGCCCGCGCGCUUGAAUCGUCUCCUUUCAACCCCGCCGCGGUGGUUGUUUUGCGACAGACUCAAAGUGAGAAAUUUAAAAUGCAAAUUGCCACACCUUGCUUGCACGCUCUUUAGCAUUCGCUGUAGACGACCUCCUUCCCACCCGUUCGCGCGCAGAAUGGCCGCCCUGGAGUCCUUCCUGUAUACCUCGGAGUCGGUGAACGAGGGUCACCCCGACAAGAUCUGCGACCAGGCACGUUAGACGCGGCGGCGCAAUUCCGCGCCUAUUGAGUCGCCUGGGGGCUCCGCUCUGGUGCAACCGAAUUAUUCUUGGACAUCGCUAGCUUUGUCAACUGAUCUAAAGCCAGCGCUCCGGGGCGCGACGCUCCUCCGAGCUGGACAGGGUACUGAUGGUGCGGUUGUUCCCCGGUGCAGGUGUCCGAUGCUGUCCUGGACGCCUGCCUGGAGCAGGACCCCGACUCAAAGGUUGCCUGCGAGACGUGCUGCAAGACUGGUGAGCGUUUACGCCGACCGAACGCUGCCAGCCCAGAUCAUUCAACAACGCAAGUGUCGCACCCAUGGUUUAAGCUGCAUAACAAGUGAAAUCCACCUUCGAAAGAAAGUUGGUCGUGGUUUUCUGAGCUGGAGCCGACCCUUUUGGCCUGCAGGCAUGGUGAUGGUGUUCGGUGAGAUCACCACCAAGGCGAAGGUUGACUACGAGGCCAUUGUGCGCAAGGUGUGCAAGGAGAUUGGCUUCACCUCGGAGGACGUGGGCCUGGACGCCGACAAGUGCAAGGUGCGUUGCUGAGGCCGGCGUUCGGGCGUGCUCCGCUGUGCUGGCCCUCGCCUUGGCCCUUGCCUUCCGCGCCCCCAGGCCCCACGCGCUCGCUGCCCUGGCUUGCGCUGCCACAAACCUCCUAUGUCACCAUGGUAUUCUCGUAGGUGCUGGUCCACAUCGAGGAGCAGUCGCCCGAUAUCGGCCAGGGCGUGCACGGCAUGGGCACCAAGGCGCUGGAGGAGAUCGGCGCCGGUGACCAGGGCCACAUGUUCGGCUACGCCACUGACGAGACCCCCGAGCUGAUGCCCCUGACCCACGUGCUGGCCACCCAGCUGGGCUACAAGCUGACUGAGGUCCGCAAGAACGGCGUCUGCCCGUGGCUGCGCCCUGACGGCAAGACCCAGGUGAGCUGCCUUUCGCUGAGGGCCAAGCGUUUUCUAUAAUGGCGGAGACUGCAAGGGCCAGGGUGGUUUCCCGACCUCCAUGGCGCUCAGCAAUGCUAGGCAUCGCGACCAUGAAUUCCCAUUUACUGUCUCCCCAAUCGGUGCUGCCAUCGCCUCCUGACAGGUCACCGUGGAGUACAAGCGCGAGGGCGGCGCCAUGAUUCCCCAGCGCGUGCACACCAUCCUGAUCUCGACCCAGCACAACCCCGAUGUGACCAACGAGAAGAUUCGUGAGGACCUGAUGGAGCACGUGAUCAAGCCCGUGGUGCCGGCCAAGUACCUGGACGACAAGACCAUCUUCCACCUGAACCCCUCGGGCCGUUUCGUGAUUGGUGGCCCCCACGGCGACGCCGGUCUGACUGGCCGCAAGAUCAUCAUCGACACCUACGGCGGCUGGGGUGCCCACGGUGGUGGCGCCUUCUCGGGCAAGGACCCGACCAAGGUCGACCGCUCGGGCGCCUACAUCGCCCGCCAGGCCGCUAAGUCCGUCGUUGCGUCGGGCCUGGCCAAGCGGUGAGUGGGUAGCAGCUGGCAACUGUUUGGAAUGGUCAUGGAACCGAAGGGCUAUGGCAAGCGGGCCAGGAUUGGUAUUGUCAUCGUCUGAUGUGCCAUACGAGUUUGGCCUAACCUCGUGUCCGCACCAUGGCUCUGUCUCCUCCGCGUAACCUCUUGUCCUCGCCAUGGUUCCGUCUCCUCCGCCCCUGCAGCUGCCUGGUCCAGGUGUCGUACUCGAUCGCUGUGGCUGAGCCCCUGUCGGUGUUCGUUGACACCUACGGCACCGGCACCAUGCCCGAUGCCGAGAUCCUGAAGCUGAUCCGGAAGCACUUCGACUUCCGCCCCGGUGAGAACUGCUGUUGUGAGGGCUUACCCAGACUCAUGCGGUUCUGCUGUGGAUUCAAGGCUUUGAUGCUGACUCGCAGUGAUGGGAAUCUGUGGGACACCUGCAUGCAGUCCAAAGCGCAGAUCGCAUUGUGCAGUUUGCCUUGAUGCGCUCCGGUUUCCACCCAUCGAUUUUCCCAUGCACAGGCCUCAUCGGCAAGAAC
rnacentral:lncRNA from 1 species